AGAAGGCAAAGCCUUAUGCUUAAUGGAUUAUUUAGCUAAAUAUACUAUCUAUGAGAUAUAGGAGUGAAACAAACAAUCCAGAAGCUUUCCUAUACCGGCACGUCCCGACAGUAUGUUCAUCAACUUCUCCAACUCUCCCGUGUCUAGCCUCACCGUCAGCGAACCUCACCGUUGCCCCGAGCAAACAAACAGCAGCAAUAUUUCUCCUUGGAAACCGGUCUUGCUACUGUGAAAUUUAUUUUGGAGGUGAUGUGAUUUGAUAGCGCAAUAAGAACAAUUCAGAAGACUAACUGAAUCAUAUAGUCAUAGAUCCAAUCACUAUUUAUUUUGGAGGUGUCAAUGCAAGUUACACCUAAAACUAUAUAUAAGUUGUUCAUCGAGAGCCCUAACUUGACCAGAGACCCGUGUUCACCUGCUUAUGUUCUGACAGCAGGCUUUGUUUUGCUUUUUUUGACAGCAUGGACCACCAUACCACAAGAAUACACAAGCGAAUAAUUUGUAGUACAAAACACUCUACUUGGUUUGCUUGUUUGAACAAGGAUGCAUCAUCAUACUGCACAUGUUUUUUUGUGUGUGUGUUUUUCUGGCAAUUGUUUGUAGUAACAAUUGCCAGAACAAAAUUCACUAGAUAAUUAAUACACACACACACUUGGGAGCGUGUAUUCCUAUGCCAGUACUACCCUGCUGCAUGCUCCUCUGAUUAUCAUGGCAUUGUGAUUAACACGAGAUCAAUGAUCAUUAAACUUUUUAUGCGCAUCCCUUCAUUAAUGGGGAUGUAGCUCAAAUGGUAGAGCGCCCGCUUUGCAUGCGGGAGGCACGGGGUUCGAUCCCCCGCAUCUCCAAUUUAUUUUCUCUUUUUUUUUUCUGUUUUGCUUAUCUUUUCGGCCGUGACUACGGCCAGUAGUCCAUCUUGCUUAACUUUUCGGCCGUGAUUACGGCCAGUAGUCCGUGUCAGGUACGCAGAAACAUACCUGAGGUCUCCAUUGACCUGUAACAUGAGACUAUCCAGCCUUAUUUUCUACUCCCUCUGUUUCAGAAUAAAUAACUCAGUUUUAUACUAAACUUAAUACAUCCCUUUUGUUUUAAAAUAAAUGUCUUAACUUUAUACUAAUUUUAAUAUAAAAUUAUAGUAAACUUGAAAUACUUAUUUUGAAACGGAGAAAGUACAAAUUAUGUUAAGUUAUUUAUUUGGUGAUGGAGGGAGUAAUACAUUAGAUCUGUUGAUAUGUACGGUCAAGAAAAAGCAUGAAGACAUGUCGAUAUGAAUCUGCAAAACCACUUAUAAACCCCCAAAACAACACACAUGCGAGUCUAACCAAAACCACGGUAAAUAAUCUCACGAAGAAACGCAGGCGCGGACGCGGAACCACGGAGGCGAAUGGCACGGCUGAGGCUCGCCGGCCACCACACGUGCCGAUGCUGGUGACUCCCGGGAUGGGCCACCUUAUCCCGCUCGCCGAGCUUGCCAAGAGCCUGGCUGCGCUCAUCACCUUCGCGUCCACGACACAGUUGGUGCAUUUCCCGUCGACCUCUCGGGUCUCAGGGAAACGACACGGCUGGUGGCCUACGUCGCCGACCUAUUCGGGGCGGACUCGUUCAACGCUGCCGUAGCCGCGGGCGUGCCGAGAAGGUACCUGUUCCAUCCUAGGAAUCUGCAUGGGAAUUUUAGACCAAGCUUCUGAUAAACUAAUAUUUUCGACUAAACCAUUGCUAACUCUUUGAAAUAUUUCUUGCUGAAAGUAUCCCUGAUCCCAUUGAUAUUGAAUAGGCCCAAAUAAUUCGAUUAGACCGUAGAUCUCUCUUGGUAUAUCCAGACAAUAUGUAGGACCAUAAACUGAAACAUUCUGGAGCUAAAAAGGUAGUUAUUAAAUCGUUAGCACCACAUAAAAACAUUCCCCCUAGAGUAUUUUCUUGUCUUUCAAUAAUGCUAGCCAAGAUGCUUCUUCUAUUCUUUUCCCUCGCGCAGCUGGGCCAUCCUGGACUUGAACCAGAGACCUCGCCUGUGAAGUAAAUCAUGGCCCCUACGAUCCAACCAAUUGGGAAUCGUAAUCACAAUUGAAAUCAUUGAGAAUGAGAUAUGAGUUAGAAUAUGUUCUAAAGUUGCAAAUAGCAUAAGGGGAAGGUCCCAUUACAAAAUUCUAAAUUUUGAAUUGAUUUCUAAUCCAUUGUAUUCUUUUUCAAGAAUGUUGCCACUCGGUUUCAAACCGAGAUGCUUGAGCCCUCCUUCCUAAGAGCAGCGUGUCUACCAAUUUCACCAUGGCGGCUAACUUCAAAUAAUAGGUAACAUACAACAAUAUCCUAAAAUAUUCCAACCACCCCACGAAUCCGUUAUUCCAAAAUGAGUCAUGAAUGGAAUUAAGAACAUACCUUGUCUCUACAUUGGAUCCAGAACAGGAUCAGAGGGAUCAGUGACGAUACUGUAUGGGAGGUCCUGCGGCAAAAUAGCUCGAUGCCAGAAUGAUAAAAAGCUUAACACCUUUUAUUUGACUUUUUUGCCGUUCACCGGGGCUUCGGUCGCCGGCUUCCCCUGUCAUCAAUUCACCAACUUCCUUGACCGCCCGGCAUUGGGCAGGCCCCAUACAUGGUCUUACGAAUUUGCGGAGACCGAAACACCUUGCUUACGUACCAUUGGAAAGUGCAUCAACAUAAUUACGGAAGUAAGCAGAGGUAGUACAAAGGUAUGUAAACUAUAAAAACAAUUUUCCCAAGAUUUUGGCUGCUAUGCCGAAUUACUCUAUUAUUCCGAAGCCAAGGAAAAUAAGUAGAACCUACAAAAAUGAGGUUUUCUAUUGACACCAAUUUAUUUUAUUGGCUAUCGUCUUUCCAAAAUAAUUUAUUGCAAUUUGAAUAUUGCAGUAUCAAUGAAUUAGAAAUUCAAAAAUUCAUUACUAUCAAAUAACCUACUUACUAAUUUUGUUGUUGUUGUUGUUGUUUUCAUUGCAAAAUGAUGGGUCUCCUUCCAUAACUUUCCAAUUAUGUCGGGUGGUUUUCUGGUCCUCGGCCGGCACUUGUGGAUUCAAAAGCUCAAGAAAAGCAUCACCCUAUGCUGGUCAAAGAACAUCAAUACAUGCUAUUCGUACAGUAGUUUCGUAAUGAAAUAUAGCGAUAGUUUUAUGUUUCAUCGCCGUAAGUAAAUAGGUAACUAGGAAUAUGGAAAAUUGCAUUUUGGAUUUUGCAAUAAUGCGUUGGGCGAACGACGGUAAUUGAACCCUCGCAUGGUGGAUUCACAAUCCAUAAUUUCAUUCAACGGAUCCUGAGGAAAAGAAUUGGGUUUCCACAAUAUGCGGAUGGAUCUAGUAAACCAAAACUAUCGAUUUUUAGGACAAUCUAUUUGAUGGCAGGUUUUUUUCCCGAAGCAAAGAUAUCCACGAAGGCCGGUUCGUUCGUCCUAUUAUGGUAUUCAGGACCAAGAGGUACUGGAUUCUCUUUCGGAUAGGCCAUGAAACGAGGCUAAUUUUUUUUAAUAUUGUAUUUUUUUAUUCUUUUUGAAAAGUAAUGCACCGAUUUGAAUAUUUUCGAAAGUAGGCCUACCUCGGCCCUGACGUGACCGAGUGGAGGCUGUCGGCGUCGGCGUGGCCGACAGGAGGCCAGUCGGCCUAGGCCCGGCCGAUUAAUGGCUCUCGGCCACGUGGCGGCCGACUAGUGGCCAGGCCACGUCGGUAGCCCAGUCGGCUCUGCCUGUCGGCCCUGGCGUAGCCAAUAAGGCUAUCGGCCUGGGGGAGGCCGACUAGUGGCCAGCCAGCCGAGGCAGCCCUUCCCCCUCUCUUCCUCCUUCCUCCUUUCUUUCUUUCUCCUUCCUCUUUCUUCCUUCUCCCUUCUCCCGUUCUACCUUAUCUCCUUUCUCUCUUUCUCCUCCUACCUUCUCCCCCACACAAAAAAUCUUCCAUUUCCACUUUUUGAACCGUACAUUUGUUGUGUAAGGAGGAGGGCAUCCGAACUAUCCAUCUCACUCGCGAUGGGGUAGUUUGUGGUGCUUGUUUUGAAGCUAUUUUUGGUGGUGGUGGAGGAGGUUGAGGUGGAGGUUGUAGUGGUGGUGGUGGUGGUGGUUUAACUAGUUUUAGGUGCUCCGGUAGAUUAGUAUAAAUUUAGUUUAGUAAAUGAAGUAGUUUAAAUAUUUUUAGGUUCUCCGAAAGAUUUGGAAAAUAUAUUUCGGGUUGUCGUUCUUCUAAUUUUUUUUCCUUGUUGAAUAAUAUGUUAGGUCAGCAGAGAUGUCUGAUUUAUUGACGUUAUGUUUGCACUAUGGUCGUGGUACCGUUCAAACAAAUGAGAUGGGAGCUGAUCUUAGUGAAUUUCAGUACACAGAGGUGCAGGUGUCCUCCCCUAAAACAUGGUCUGUUAGUCAGUUGACAGAAUGGCUUGCGCGAUGUUUAGGGUUCAAUACUGAAACACACACCGUCGGUGUUCAUGUAUUAUGGACCCGGUCCAUUGGUAAUAUUUUCUGGUAUUUGAAGCAUAUAGAGCGGGACGACCAGUGGGUGCCCUUGUUACAAUCUUGCGAGAUUAGGGGAUGUCAUCCUGUGGCCUUACUUCUCCCCAUGCUAAAGCCGGUUACUGAACCUGAAGUGGAACGUAGCUCUGUAUAUGGUGAGAGCAGUGUAGGGAUGCAUGAUUCACAGUCAAUUCAUGCGUCCCAUGUUGGGGAUGAUUUGUACGAAGCUGGCCAGAGUAGUCAGGCCGAAGGGGGAGAUGUAGAUGAUUAUCUCAGCGGUGAGGCGGAUGCCGACGAGAUAGAUGGGCACAUGCAAAACGAGAUGCAUGAAGAAGAUAUAGCGGGUGAUAUUUCCGAUGAAUCCGCCGAAUCAGAUGGAGAAGAGCACGCACAUGAAGUGCCUAUUCCUGCAUGAUGGAAUCAGGACUUCUCAUCUGCAAUGUUGGUGAACGAUGGUCAUGAUUCUGCCUGGCAGUAUCACCAGAACAACAUUGCGACAGGUGCCCUCUACCCGAACAAACAAGCUUUGAAGGAUGCCAUCCUUAAUUGGGCAAUGUCCACUCAAAGGGUAUUUUUAGCUCAAGUUUCUUGUCCGGAUAAGUUGACAAUGGUUUGUAGAAAUCAGGGUUGUCCCGCAAGGGUGCAUGGAUAUCUCCCUAAGUACGACACAAGCUGGGUCAUAAGUGACUUAGUUAGUCAUAAUUGUGUUAUUCCAUGCAUCCCUGAAGAUCAUCCCAACCUUACUUCCACUGUGAUAGCUCGCUUGCUUUACAACGAGAUUGUGAAGUGCAAGGCGAUGGAAGUGAAGGCUAUCCAGAAAAAAGUCUUCGUCAGGUUAAAGUACAACAUAUUAUAUGGCAAGGCUUGGAGGGCUAAGCAGAAGGCACUGGAGACCAGAUUUGGUUUAUAUUUUGAUGCAUAUGACUCUGUUGUUCGGCUCGUGCAGACACUGCAGAACCGGAAUCCUGGCACGUAUGUUGACAUCCAAGAGUUGUACCUGCCAGAGUUCCCAACGGUUAGGGUGUUGCAUCGGAUGUUCUUCUCUUUCGGUGCCUGCAUUGAAGCUUUCAGACAUUGUCGACCGGUGAUAUGUGUUGAUGGCACAUUUCUCACUGGCAAGUACAAGGGUCAGAUCCUCACAGCCAUAGGUCAAGAUGGGAAAAUCAAGUCAUCCCACUUGCAUUUUCUUUUGUGGAGAGCGAGAACAUCGAUAGUUGGACAUGGUUCUUCAGGCAGUUGAAAAUAGAUGUUGUGCAAGAUAAGCAGAAUGUGUGCAUGCUUCAUGAUAGGCAUGCAGGUAUACUCAGCGCGAUCAAGACAUUGUCAAACCCUGCUCCCGGUGAACAAACUCCUUGGCAGGACAUUCAGAGUCGUUGGUGCAUGCGCCAUCUAGGGGCAAAUUUCUUCUCGCAGUUUAGAAAUAAGAACCUCAUGAAUCUAUUCAAGAAACUCUGCAAGUAGAACCAACAAUGGAAAUAUGAGCUGAUACGUAACAGACUAAAUGUUUGCACACAGAGACAUGUUAGGGACAGGAGAGCAGCAAGAGAUGUUGCUGUCAGGGCACAUGUUGAAGCAGUAGCUGCACAAUUAGCAACUGGAGCUGCUACCAUGGAGGAAGAGUCGGUUGGGCUUUGUGACUUGCCAGGAUUUGACCCUCUUGGUACAAGGAGAAGGCUAGCGAGGCCGAUUAAAACCUUCGAUCAGUGGAUAGAGCAUGAGCCAUUGGAGAGGUGGUCUCUCUUGCAUGACACACAUGGAGCCAGGUACGGUGUCAUGACUACCAACCUGGCUGAAACAUAUAAUUUUUUCAUAAGAGGAAACAGAGCUUUGCCACUUACAGUGAUCGUUGAGGGCAUUUUCUAUGGCACAGUGAAGUAUUUCAGGGAAAAACGUCAAAUUGCUGCGGAGCAUAUGACAAACAAUCCUAACACACGUUACUGUGAAAGGGUUAUGAAGUACAUGGAUGAAAAGAUGAAGAAAGCCCGGUCACACAGUGUUGUCGCCAUUGGAAAUCUAGAGCGAAGGUUCGAGGUUCGCUUAGCUAACAACAAAUUCGAAUGUGCAAAUGAGAUGAGAACACACGAGGUGAAAAUUGGAAAUGAAUUGUGGCCAACGUGCGAAUGCACAUGCAACAAACCAAAGUUGCUUCACCUACCUUGCUCGCAUGUACUUGCUGCUUGCGGGCUCAUAGGUCUUGACGCAAUCUAUUUUGUGUCUCCGUAUUUUCUGAAAGAGGUUGUCCUCAAUACCAGGCAGUAUGCGGUAAUAUUUAUUCUCUUUACGUCAUUUAAGUUGUUGUUACUUGCUUCAUCAUCGGUACUUAUUAUUCUUAAUGACAAUUUCAGGGUGAGUUGGCAUACAGUAUUCAUACUGACGUGAUGAACUUUGAUCAACAAUUAUCAUCUGCACCUCUUAUGGUACCUCGGUCUCAGAUUCAACCAUGGCUCAAGAGGCUCGAGCAGAGAAUAAGAGAUAUCUAUAAAGCUAUCACGUGCACGCGCACUUCGGAUGUUGUGCAUCACCAGCCGCAGCCUACGCCGGUGCCGCGUCACUCCGUGCAUCGACAUGAGCCACGUCCACAUCUACAAGGAGUGGAACCGACGCCACAUCCACCCUCACCUGACCAGCCUAGCAGUUCAGCGUGGCAUCAGCCACAGCACCACGCUUCGUCAUCGAGCUUCAUGUUUCAGCCAACUCCGCAACAUCACAAUCCUACUCCUGGUUUCAUGUUUCAUCCACAUCCAACAGGUAUGGUCCCUCCUGCAUAUCAUGAUGUGUCAGCGUCCGGAUCCGGGUUAGGGAGUGAACCAGAUGAGCCACCAUCGCAGCAAAACAUGUGGUUGGACAUGUUUUCGACUCCUCCACCGUGGCCCACACAGGAUACACAGUAUGACCAGGGUGGAUCCGAGAUUCCUCCUCGUAACAUUAGGCCCCCCCACAGGUGGGGAUGGAGUACACCACACCCCUAGAGCGCCAACCGAGACGUCGUGAGUGAAGCAAACUCUUUGUCGUGCUAUGUAUCACUUCAGACUUAUGUCUAUUUUAUGUAAGAAACUUAUGUGUAUUUUAUGUAUGAGACUUAUGUGUAUUUUAUCUAUGAGACUUAUGUGUAUUUUAUCUAUAAGACAUAUUCCUAUAUAUUUCUAUGCUGAGUUGGUUCAUCGUGGAUAACACAUAUACUACCAAUAACUUGAGAUUAAAAACAAAGUAAGAUUCUGGAGAUACAUAAAAUAAGAUAAAUUAAGAUGCAGAGUUCAUAGAAGAACUACAUAAAGUCGUCGUCAUCCUUCGAUGAUGCAGAGCUCUGGCCCUUCGACGAAGCGGUACUCUUGGCACUCGUUGAUGCUGCCCUCUUGUCCUUGCUACUCGGCAUGAUGAUAUCGUCUUCGUCCUCGCUAUCGUCAAUCCUUAAAAAGGGAUGUUUUACUCCACCUCCUCCGUGUAUGUGCUGGCCUUUCUUCUUCCAUCUUUCAUUCAACCACAGAAGUUCCUUCCGAAUCUCCUCAUAUGUCCUUGCAGGCCACCCCUUCCUAGCUAAUGCAUGAGCAACCUCAUUCAGUAGUGUGUCACUACUGAUGAGUUCGUCCCAUGAAACUAUUCUAUUGUCUAUCUUGAAAUUGCUAGCCAAGCGUAGAAGGCACUCCGACAUACCACUGUGAAAACUACGAUCGAAAGGAUAAUGAGACAUUUUGAGCACACUCCUUACGAACCUUGCUGUGGAGAGGGUUUUAUAGGUGCCGAAGAGCGGGAAAUAAAUGGUGGGAAAGCGAGGCGGGAACAAAAUGGCGGGAAAGCAAGGCGGGAACAAAAAUGCUCAGUUGGUUCUUCGUGGAUAACACAUAUACUACCAAUAACUUGAGAUUACAGACAAACUAAGAUAGACCUUGCCGGAAUUAAAAUACAACUUGCUGAAAUUAAGAUACAACAUGUUGACACAACUUGCUGAAAUUAAGAUACAACUUGCUGAAAUUAAGAUACAACUUGCUGAAAUUAAAAUAAAUCUACUGAGUCCAGCGUGGAUAUUUUCCUUUUCCAUCACCGGCUUCUUCUGCUGCUUUGGACGCACGAGUCCUUUCUCUCUUUCUCUCCCUCUCAGCUUCACGGGCAUGUUCCCGCUGUCUGUAAACCUCCUUCAACUGAAGUUUCUCUUCUUGGUUCUUCCUUAUCAUCUCAUCAAUAAAAGCCCUCUGCUCCACACAGUAAUCUUCCCACUCUUUCUUCUUCUCUGCUUUCUCCUUUGCUUCAGCCUUCGCGCGACACUCUUCCAAGUCCAAGCUAGCCCAUGCACGGCGACCUCUUUCACGAAUCUCGGUCACCACCCAGUCCGGCAUUUCCAUGUCAAUCCAACGAUAGUACAUGCAGAUAGGAGGAGGAGACUACAAAAAAUAUAUAUAAAUAUCAAGUAAACAAUAAUAUCAACAACAUAUUUACUCUAGAUAACUUGAGCAUACCGGAGGUGUUGGAAAUAUGCCCUGGAGGCCAUAAUAAAUUAGUAAUUAUUAUAUUUCUUAGUUCAUGAUAAUCAUUUAUUAUCCAUGCUAUAAUUGUAUUGAUUGGAAACACAGUGCAUGUGGGAUACAUAGACAAAACACUGUCCCUAGCAAGCCUCUAGUUGACUAGCUCGUUGAUCAAAGAUGGUCAAGGUUUCCUGACCAUAGGCAAGUGUUGUCACUUGAUAACGGGAUCACAUCAUUAGGAGAAUCAUGUGAUGGACUAGACCCAAACUAAUAGACGUAGCAUGUUGAUCGUGUCAUUUUGUUGCUACUGUUUUCUGCGUGUCAAGAAUUUGUUCCUAUGACCAUGAGAUCAUAUAACUCACUAACACCGGAGGAAUGCUUUGUGUGUAUCAAACGUCGCAACGUAACUGGGUGACUAUAAAGAUGCUCUACAGGUAUCUCCGAAGGUGUUCGUUGAGUUAGUAUGGAUCGAGACUGGGAUUUGUCACUCCGUGUGACGGAGAGGUAUCUCGGGGCCCACUCGGUAAUACAACAUCACACACAAGCCUUGCAAGCAAUGUGACUUAGUGUAAGUUGCGGGAUCUUGUAUUACAGAAUGAGUAAAGAGACUUGCUGGUAAACGAGAUUGAAAUAGGUAUGCGGAUACCGACGAUCGAAUCUCGGGCAAGUAACAUACCGAAGGACAAAGGGAAUGACAUACGGGAUUAUAUGAAUCCUUGGCACUGAGGUUCAAACGAUAAGAUCUUCGUAGAAUAUGUAGGAUCCAAUAUGGGCAUCUAGGUCCCGCUAUUGGAUAUUGACCGAGGAGUCUCUCGGGUCAUGUCUACAUAGUUCUCGAACCCGCAGGGUCUGCACGCUUAAGGUUUGACGUUGUUUUGUGCGUAUUUGAGUUAUAUGGUUGGUUACCGAAUGUUGUUUGGAGUCCCGGAUGAGAUCCAGGACGUCACGAGGAGCUCCGGAAUGGUCCGGAGGUAAAGAUUGAUAUAUAGGAAGUCCUGUUUUGGUCACCGAAAAAGUUUUGGGCUCAUCGGUAGUGUGCGGGGAGUGCCGGGAGGGGUGCCGGGGACCAUCGGGAGGGGUGUCACGCCCCAAGGGGUCUCAUGGGCUAUGGGAAGAGAUAAACCAGCCCCGAGUGGGCUGGAAUAAGUUCCCACUAAGGCCCAUAAGGUUUGAGAAGGAAAAAACACAAGGUGGAAAGAGUUUCCAAGUGGGAAGGUGGAAUCCUACUCCAAGUAGGAUUGGAGUAGGACUCCUCCACCUUUAAUUUCGGCCAAACCUUGAGGGUUUGAGGCUGCCUCUUCCCUCCCCCUCCCUCCUAUAUAUACUGAGGUAUUAGGUCUGAUUUGAGACAACGUUGCCACGGCAACCCGACCACAUAUCUCCACGGUUUUACCUCCAGAUCGCGUUUCUGCGGAGCUCGGGCAGAGCCCUGCUGAGAUUAGAUCACCACCAACCUCCGGAGCACCGUCACGCUGCCGGAGAACUCAUCUACCUCUCCUUCUCUCUUGCUGGAUCAGGAAAGCCAAGAUCAUCGUCGAGCUGUACGUGUGCUGAACGCGGAGGUGCCGUCCGUUCGGCACUAGAUUGUGGGACUGAUCGCGGGACGGUUCGCUGGGCGGAUCGAGGGACGUGAGGACGGUCCACUACAUCAACCGUGUUCACUAACUCUUCUGCAGUGCGAUCUACAAGGGUACGUAGAUCGGAAAUCCCCUCUCGUAGAUGGACAUCACCAUGAUAGGUCUUCGUGCGCGUAGGAAUUUUUUUGUUUCCCAUGCGACGUUCCCCAACAGUGGCAUCAUGAGCUAGGUUCAUGCAUAGAUGUCUUCUCGAGUAGAACACAAAAGUUUUUAUGGGCGGUGACGUGCGUUUUGCUGCCCUCCUUAGUUUUUUCUUGAUUCCGCGGUAUUGUUGGAUCGAAGCGGCUCGGACCGACAUUACUCGUACGCUUACGAGAGACUGGUUUCAUCGCUACGAGUAACUCCUUUGCUCAAAGAUGACCGGCGAGUGUAGGUUUCUCCAACUUCAGUUGAAUCAGAUUUGACCAAGGAGGUCCUUGGAUGAGGUUAAAUAGCAAUUCAUAUAUCUCCAUUGUGGUGUUUGCGUAAGUAAGAUGCUAUCCUACUAGAUACCCAUGGUCACCACGUAAAACAUGCAACAACAAUUAGAUGACGUCUAACUUGUUUUUGCAGGGAAUGCUUGUGAUGUGAUAUGGCCAACGAUAUGAUGUGAUAUAUUGGAUGUAUGAGAUGAUCAUGUUGUAAUAGUUAAUAUCGACUUGCACGUCGAUGGUACGGCAACCGGCAGGAGCCAUAGGGUUGUCUUUAAACUAAUGUUUGUGCUUGCAGAUGCGUUUACUAUAUUGUUAGGACGUAGCUUUAGUAGUAAUAGCAUGAGUAGCACGACAACCCCGAUGGCGACACGUUGAUGGAAAUCAUGGUGUGAUGCCGGUGACAAGAAGAUCGUGCUGGUGCUUUGGUGAUGUAGAUCAAGAAGCACGUGAUGAUGGCCAUAUCAUGUCACUUAUGAAUUGCAUGUGAUGUUAAUCCUUUAUGCACCUUAUCUUGCUUAGAACGACGGUAGCAUUAUGAGGUGAUCUCUCACUAAAAUUUCAAGACAAAAUUGUGUUCUCCCCGACUGUGCACCAUUGCGAUAGUUCUUCGUUUCGAGACACCACGUGAUGAUCGGGUGUGAUAGACUCAACGUUCACAUACAAUGGGUGCAAAACAGUUGCACACGCGGAACACUCGGGUUAAGCUUGACGAGCCUAGAAUGUGCAGACAUGGCCUCGGAACACAUGAGACCGAAAGGUCGAGCAUGAAUCGUAUAGUUGAUAUGAUUAGCAUAGAGAUGCUUACCACUGAAACUAUUCUCGACUCACGUGAUGAUCAGACUUGAGAUAGUGGAUUUGGAUCAUGUACCACUCAAAUGACUAGAGAGAUGUACUUUUUGAGUGGGAGUUCUUAAGUAAUAUGAUUAAAUUGAACUAAUUGUCAUGAACAUAGUCUAAUGGUCUUUGCGAAUUACGAUGUAGCUUGCGCUAUAGCUCUACUGUUUUAUAUGUUCCUAGAGAAAAUUUAUUUGAAAGUUGAUAGUACCAAACUUUGCAGACUGAGUCUGUAAAACCGAGGAUUGUCCUCGUUGUUGCGCAGAAGGCUUAUGUCCUUAAUGCACCACUCGGUGUGCUGCACCUCGAGCGACGUCUGUAGAUGUUGUGAACAUCCGACAUACACGUUUCUGAUGACUACACGAUAGUUCAGUGCAAAAUACUUAAUGGCUUAGAAGCAAGGCACCGAAGACGUUUUGAAACGUCACGGAACAUAAGUGAUGUUCUAAAGAGAUGAAAUUGUGAUUUCAUGCUUGUGCCCUUGUUAAGAGGUACGAGACCCCCGACAAGAUUCUUUGUCCACAAAGUAAAGGAGAAAAGCUCAAUCGUUGAGCGUGUGCUCAGAUUGUCUGAGUACGACAAUCGCUUGAAUCAAGCGAGAGUUAAUCUUCCAGAUGAGAUAGUGAUAGUUCUCCAAAGUCACUGCCACCAAACUGUGAGAGCUUUGUGAUGAACUAUAACAUAUCAAGGAUAGAUACAAUGAUCCUUGAGCGAUUCGCGAUGUUUGGCACUGCGAAAGUAGAAAUCAAGAAGGAGCAUCAAUAGUUGAUGGUUUGUAAAACCACUAAGUUUCAAGAAAGGCAAGGGCUAGAAGGGAUACUUCGUGAAACGGCAAAACAGGUGCUGCACUAAUGAAGAGACCCAAGAUUAAACCCAAACCCGAGACUAAGUGCUUCUGUAAUGAGGGGAACAGUCACUGAGGCGGAGCAACUCUAGAUACUUGGUAGAUAAGAAGGCUGGCAAAAGUCGAAAGAAGUAUAUUUAAUAUACAUGAUGUUGAUGUGUACUUUACUAGUACUCCUAGUAGCACGAUGGUAUUGGAUACCGGUUCGGUUGCUAAGUGAUUAGUAACACGAAAUGAAAGCUACGGCAUAAACGGAGACUAGCUAAAGGCGAGGUGACGAUACGUGUUGGAAGUGUUUCCAAGGUUGAUAUGAUCAAACGUCGCACGCUCCCUCUACCAUUGGGAUUGGUGUUAAACCUAAAUAAUUGUUAUUUGGUGCAUGCGUUAAGCAUGAACAUGAUUGGAUCGUGCUUAUUGCAAUACGAUUAUUCAUUUAAAGAGAAUAAUGGUUACUCUAUUUGCUUGAAUAAUCACCUUCAAUGGUUUAUUGAAUCUCGAUCGUAGUGUUACACAUGUUCAUGAUAUUGGUGCCAAAAGACACGAGGUAAUGAUGAUAGUACCACUUACUUGUGGCACUGCCACUUGAGUCAUGUUGGUAUAAAUUGCAUGAAGAGGUUCCAUGCUGAUGGAUCUUUAUACUCACUUGAUUUUGAAUCACUAGUGACAUGCAAAUCAUACUACAUGAGCAAGGCCUUGUUUUCAUUGAGAUGAAACAAGAUAGUAACUUGUUGGAAGUGAUACAUUUUGAUGUAUGCAAUCCAAUGGGUGCUGAGGCACGUAGUGGAUAUCAGUAUGUUCUUACUUCAAUGAUGAUUUGAGUAGAUACAAGAGUAUUUACUUAGUGAAUCACAAGUCCGAAAUAUUGAAAAGUUCAAUUCUGUUUUAGAGUGAAGUUCGUCAUAACAAGAGGAUAAACUGUCUACGAUAUGAUCAUAGAAAUGAAUAUCUGAGUUACGAGUUUUGGUACGCAGUUAAAACAAUGUGGAAAUUGUUUCGCAGUUCAUGCCACCUGGAACAUCAUAGUGUGAUGAUGUGUCUGAACAUCAUAGCCACACACUAUUUGGUAUGGUGCAUACUAUGAUGUCUCUUAUCGAAUUACCACUAUCGUUUAUGGGUUAUGCAUUAGAGACAACCGCAUUCACUUUAAAUAGGGCCUCGCGUAUUUCCGUUGAGAUGACACAGUAUAGACUGAGGUUUAGAGAAAUCUAAACUGUCGUUUCUUGAAUGUUUGGGGCUUCUACACUUAUGUGAAAAAGUUUCAGUCUGAUAAGCUCGAACCCAAAGCGGAUAAAUGCAUCUUCAUAGGAUAUCCAAAACAGUUGGGUACAUCUCCUAUCUCAAAUCCGAAAGCAAAGUGUUUGUUUCUAGAAACGGAUCCUUUCUCGAGGAAAGGUUUCUCUCGAAAUAAUUGAGUGGGAGGGUGGUAGAACUUGAUGAGGUUAUUGAACCAUCACUUCAACCAGUGUGUAGCAGGGCGCAGGAAAUUGUUCCUGUGGCGCCUACACCAAUUGAAGUGAAAGCUGAUGAUGGUGAUCAUCGAGCAUCGGAUCAAGUUACUACAAACCUCGUAGGUUGACAAGGUCGCGUACUACUGCAGAGUGGUACGGUAACCCUGUCUUGGAGGUCAUGUUGUUGAGCAAGAGUGAACCUACAAGUUAUGGAGAAAGCAAUGGUGGGCCCGAAUUCCGACAAAUGGCUAGAGGCCAUGAAAUCCGAGAGAGGAUCCAUGUAUGAAAACAAAGUGUAGACUUUGGAAGAACUACUUGAUGGACAUAGGACCAUUGAGUAAAGAUGGAUAUUCAAAAGGAAUACAGACGAUGAUGGUGAUAAGUCACUAUUAAGACAAGCUCGACUUGUGGCAAAGAUGUUUCCGACAAGAUCAAACAGUUGACUAUGAUGAGACUUUCUCACUCGUAGCGAUGCUAAAAGUCUGUUAGAAUUAUGUUAGUAGUUGUUGCAUUAUUUUUGAAAUAUUGCACACAGGAUGUCAAAGCAUUGUUUCCUCGACGGUUUCCUUGAGCAAACAAUGUAUGUGAUACAACCAGAAGGUUUUGUCGAUCCUAAAGAUACUAGCAAGUAUGCAAGCUCCAGCGAUCCUUCAAUGGACUGGUGCAAGCAUCUCGGAGUUGGAAUAUACACUUUGAUGAGAUGAUCAAAGAUUUUGGGUUUGUGCUAGGUUUAUGAGAAACUUGUAUUUCCAAAGAAGUGAGUGGGAGCACUAUAGAAUUUUUGAUAAAUAUAUGUGGUUGACAUAUUGUGGAUCAUAAGUGAUGUAGAAUUUCUGUAAAGCAUACAAGGUUGUCUGAAAGGAGUUUUCAAAGGAGUACCUGGAUUGCGCUACUUGAACGUUGAGCAUCAAAGAUCUAUGGAGAUAGAUCGAAAGCUCUUAAUGGAAGUUUCAACAAGAUGCAUGCCUUGACAAGUUUUUGAAGGAGUUCAAAAUAGAUCAGCAAAGAAGGAGUUCUUGGUUGCGUUGUGAGGUGUGAAUUUGAGUAAGACUCAAAACCCGACCCCGGCAGAAUAAAGAGAAUAGACGAAGGUCGUCUUCUAUGCCUUAGCCGUAGACUCUAAAGUAUGCCAUGCUGAGUACCUCACCUGAUGUGUGCCUUGCAGCAAUUCAGUUAAGAGGUACACAGAGUGAUCCAGGAUUGAAUCACUGAUCAGCGGUCAAAGUUAUCCUUAGUAUCUAAAUAGACUAAGGAAUUUUUCUCGAUUAUGGAGGUGGUUAAAGAGUUCGUCGUAAAGGGUUACGUCGAUGCAAGCUUUGACACUAAUCCGAAUAACUAUGAGUAGUGAAACGGAUUCGUAUAGUAGAGUAGAUAUUUGGAGCAUUUCCGAAUAGCACGUAGUAGCAGCAUCUAUAAGAUGACAUAAAGAUUUGUAAAGAACGCACGGAUCUGAAAGUUCCAGAACCGUUGACUAAAACCUUUCUCACGAGCAAGACGUGAUCACACCCCAUAACUAUAUGGGUGUUGGAUUCGUUGAAAUCACAUGGUGAUGUGAACUAGAUUAUUGACUCUAGUGCAAGUGGGAGACUGUUGGAAAUAUGCCCUAGAGGCAAUAAUAAAUUAGUUAUUAUUAUAUUUCUUAGUUCAUGAUAAUCGUUUAUUACCAUGCUAUAAUUGUAUUGAUUGGAAACACAGUGCAUGUGUGGAUACAUAGACAAAACACUGUCCCUAGUAAGCCUCUAGUUGACUAGCUCGUUGAUCAAAGAUGGUCAAGGUUUCCGGACCAUAGGCAAGUGUUGUCACUUGAUAAUGGGAUCACAUCAUUAGGAGAAUCAUGUGAUGGACUAGACCCAAACUAAUAGACGUAGCAUGUUGAUCGUGUCAUUUUGUUGCUACUGUUUUCUGCGUGUCAAGUAUUUGUUCCUAUGACCAUGAGAUCAUAUAACUCACUGACACCGGAGGAAUGCUUUAUGUGUAUCAAACGUCGCAACGUAACUGGGUGACUAUAAAGAUGCUCUACAGGUAUCUCCGAAGGUGUUCGUUGAGUUAAUAUGGAUCGAGACUGGGAUUUGUCACUCCGUGUGACGGAGAGGUAUCUCGGGGCCCACUCAGUAAUACAACAUCACACACAAGCCUUGCAAGCAAUGUGACUUAGUGUAAGUUGCGGGAUCUUGUAUUACGGAACGAGUAAACAGACUUGCCGGUAAGCGAGAUUGAAAUAGGUAUGCGGAUACUGACGAUCGAAUCUCGGGCAAGUAACAUACCGAAGGACAAAGGGAAUGACAUACGAGAUUAUAUGAAUCCUUGGCACUGAGGUUCAAACGAUAAGAUCUUCGUAGGAUAUGUGGGAUCCAAUAUGGGCAUCCGGGUCCCGUUAUUGGAUAUUGACCGAGGAGUCACUCGGGUCAUGUCUACAUAGUUCUCGAACCCGCAGGGUCUGCACACUUAAGGUUCGACGUUGUUUUAUGCGUAUUUGAGUUAUAUGGUUGGUUACCGAAUGUUGUUCGGAGUCCCGGAUGAGAUCCAGGACGUCACGAGGAGCUCCGGAAUGGUCCGGAGGUAAAGAUUGAUAUAUAGGAAGUCCUGUUUUGGUCACCGGAAAAGUUUCGGGCUCAUCGGUAGUGUACCGGGAGUGCCGGGAAGGGUGCCGGGGACCAUCGGGAGGGGUGUACGCCCCAAGGGGUCUCAUGGGGUAUAGGAAGAUAUAAACCAGCCUCUAGUGGGCUGGAAUAAGUUCCCACUAAGGCCCAUAAGGUUUGAGAAGGAAAAAACACAAGGUGGUGGAAAGAGUUUCCAAGUGGGAAGGUGGAAUCCUACUCCAAGUAGGAUUGGAGUAGGACUCCUCCACCUCUAAUUUCGGCCAAACCUUGAGAGUUUGAGGCUGCCUCUUCCCUCCCCCUCCCUCCUAUAUAUACUGAGGUAUUAGGGCUGAUUUGAGACAACUUUGCCAGGGCAGCCCGACCACAUAUCUCCACGGUUUUACCUCUAGAUCGCGUUUCUGCGGAGCUCGGGCGGAGCCCUGCUGAGAUUAGAUCACCACCAACCACCGGAGCGCCGUCACGUUGCCGGAGAACUCAUCUACCUCUCCGUCUCUCUUGCUGGAUCAAGAAGGUCGAGAUCAUCGUCGAGAUGUACGUGUGCUGAACGCGGAGGUGCCGUCCGUUCGACACUAGAUCGUGGGACUGAUCGCGGGACGGUUCGCGGGGCCGGAUCGAGGAACGUGAGGACGGUCCACUACAUCAACCGCGUUCACUAACGCUUCUGCUGUGCGAUCUACAAGGGUACGCAGAUCGGAAAUCCCCUCUCGUAGAUGGACAUCACCAUGAUAGGUCUUCGUGCGCGUAGGAAUUUUUUUGUUUCCCAUGCGACCUUCCCCAACAGGAGGCCUGAGGUACGCAGAAAUAGAUUCGGGCGGAUCAGAUUCAUAAUUGGCGCACAUGAAAAACGUCAUGCCCAACCAAUCUGAAAAAUCCGUCACCUCCUUCACCUUGCAGAGAUCACCGCACCAACAUCGAACUGCUUCCACACCCCGAAGCAAACUCGCACUCUGCAUUUUCUUAGGCCUGAUGCUCUGAUCCGAGCAAGUCAAACUCAUAUUCACUGGAUGAUGGAGGAAGGAAGGCAGUGCUAGUGUUCUCAAGUGAGGCUGGAUGAUGGAGGAAGGCAAUCCAAUGCCUUCUUUUAUAGACUUAAAUGACCAGGAAGAUGGCGGGAAAACGAGGAGGGAAAUGUGGCGGGAAAGAUUUGGCGGGAAAUAAGAGGGUAAAUAGUUGGCGGGAAAAGAAACGGGCAAAAUUUGGCGGGAAAGGUGGUGCGAAAAAUUAGGCGAGAAUGGAGACGUGGAAAUAUUUGCGGCAACGGAGGAGGGAACAAAAUGGCGUGGCCGAUUGAGGGAAUAUCGGCGGGAAAUGGAAUAGGCAAAAUAGCUAACGUUCAAAAUACACAUAAGUUUCUUACAUAAAAUAUCAUCGCGAGUGAGACGGAUAGUUUGGAUGCCCUCCUCCUUACACAACAUAAAAUAUCAUCGCGAGUGAGACGUUGAAAAUACACAUAAGUUUCUUACAUAAACGUGGAAAUGGAAUAUUUUUUUUGUGCGGGGAGAAAUAAGGAGAAGAAAUAGAGAAAGGAGAUAAGGUAGAAUGGGAGAAGGAGGGAGAUAAGAAAUAGAGAAAGGACAAGGAAGGAAUAACAAAGAGAGGGGGGGGGGGAGGGCAGGGCUGGGGCUGGCUCGUGGCCACUACUCGGCCACGGCUAGGCUGAAUGCCCUAUCGGCUUUCCCAAGGCCGAGUGGCAGUGGCCGGCCAUUAAUCGGCUUCCACGUGGCCGAGAGCCCCCUGUCGGCCUCGCCAAAGCCGACAGCCUCCUGUCGGCCGACACAAAGCCGACAGCCCCCAGUCGGCUACAGGGUGGCCGAGGCAGGUAUCCUUUUGGAAUUUUUGAAUUUGGUGCAUUAUUUUUCAAAAAAAAUAAAAAAAUGCAAUAUUAAAAAAAAUUAGCUGAAACGAGAAGAAAGGCUGAAAUGAAGGCAAAAUCCUUUUAAAAAAAAGAGUCGUCUUUAAACUAUUUUCUUCGUCUCAUUUCAAACGAGUUGACUUUUUUUCCUUAUUCUGAUCCAACUGUGUUGUUGAGACAAUUGAAAAUUGUGUUUACUUGUUCUGGAAUCCUUUAUCUUUAAUUUGUGAAAUCUUAGGAUUUAGACAUUACUUUAUAACGUUCAUCCUUCACCUCCCCGAGCUCGACGUCUCCCUGCCCGACGAGUUCCGGGACCUCGCCGAGCCCGUCAGGCUGCCGAGCUGCGUCCCCAUCGAGUGGCCCGACGUCAUGUCGGCGGUCCAGGACAAGUCCGACGCCUGCUACCGGUGGAUGGUGCACCACGCCAAGCGCUACCACAAACCGGAGGCCAUCCUUAUCAACUCCUUCGACGCCGUCGAGCCGGACGCCGUCAGGGUGCUCUCUCACCUCGAGCCCGGCUGCCCUCCGGUGUACAACAUCGGUCCACUCAUACGGGCCAAUGCCAGCGACGAACCGGCAGUAUCUCCACCGGCAGUCGGGCUAGUCAGUCAUCUUCGUCUCCUUUGGUUCCGGAGGCUCGCUGACGACGGCGCAUAUGCGCUCGGGCUGGAGCUCAGCAGGCAGCGAUUCCUGUGGGUGGUGCGGAGCUUGAGCGACGAGGGGACCCGUGAGCACCAGCUACUACGAAAAAAAAAAAAAUGAAACUCCAUGGGCACUAGCACCCAUGGUUUAUUGAUAUAGAAGAAGCAUCCCUAAUGAGAAACCAGAAAUUCGUCCCCGACGUGGAUCGAACCCUGGUUGCUGAAGACGCCACUGCGCUACUACGAUGCCAAGAGCAAGAAGGACACCCUGGCCGACCUCCCGGAGGGGUUCGUCAAGAGGACCAAAGACGUCGGCAGUGAAGGAAGUGAUUGGCCAUGGCAAAGGAGGAGAUCGCCAUGACCGUGAGGGAAGUGAUGGUUGGCCAUGGCAAAGGUGCGGAGGUAAGAGCUUAAGAUGGCGGCGCUGCAGAAGGUGGCGAAGGAAGCUUUUCUUGAGGGGGGUGCCCCCACGACCGUGCUGGAUGAAGUGGUGCGCAAGUGGACAUGUGGCAAGUAUUCCUUGGUGUCAGCAAACCUACCAAUACAUCUCGCUACGAAUGGUUGUGCGCAUUGUAAUGAUUUUCCUUCUUUUUCUUAAGAAAUAGAAACAUCUCGCUUCUUCAAUGUGGUUGUAUGCCAUUUUUGAGAGUGGAUUUUCCAUUGUAUAUUUGUAAGGUCCAUUUUGCAUAGAGUAUGUCUACAUGGCCAGGUGAACACUGGUCUCUCGGCAAGUUAGGGUUCUAGAUAAACAACUUAUAUAGUUUUUAGACUAACUUGACACCUCCAAAAUAAAUAGUGAUUGGAUCUAUAACUAUAUGAUAUUACUCUUCUAAAUUUUUCUUAUUGCACUAUCAGAUCACAUUGCCCCCUAUAAGUCCAAUAUACAUUGAUUGUAAAUUUCGCAGCUGAAAAGUCGCAUUCCAAGCUAAAUAUUCCCUUUGUUUGCUCGUGGCGGCAGAGACUAUGGUGCUUGCCGACAGUGAGGCUGGAUACUGGAAAGUUGGAGAAGUUGAUGGACAUGCUGUCAGGACAUGCCACUGGUGCGAUGGUGGAUGGCGCAAGUGCUGUCGCAAAGCAUGGCGCACCGUCGGCUGAGACACCACCGUGUGGGUGUUUAUUGAAGUUAUACAAAAUGAUUUAUGAUCCAUGCGCGCUGUGCACUUAGAUUCUAGUCCAAAAGGCUUCCAGCCAACUUAUACAAAAGGGAUCACGCACCGUCAUUUGAGUGAUCAAGUUCUAGCUACGGAUUAUUUUUGCGAGCCACUCAUAUAGGAAAACAUCUGGCUUGUUUGUUUCACUCCAAUAUCUCAUAGAAGUAGCAUAUGUAGCUAAAUAGUCCACUAAGUCUAAGACUUUGCUUUCCACUUAAAGCUAUAUCUCCCACACGUUGUGAUGGUACUAUAUAUAUAUAUAGACGAGUCAACAUGCGUGCGGCGUGCCUAGAUCAUUCGAUUGUCAUGUAUGUAGUGAUGAGUAUAUUACUGCACUCUGUAGUCAUACUUUGUUUCUCUUCCCCUUCACUUCUCAUGAAGAAUGCAUACAUGCACACCGAGUGUGGCCCUUACAACAGGAAUUAUACCGGAUGUUGCUGCAUUUUGGCCUCGUGUUAUGCACUGGUCCUGCUGGCCUCGUGUUAUGCAAGAUCUCAAGCUGAAAUCCGCGAGUAUUUACCCAAAAACUAUCACAUUUCAUGAAAACGUGUUCAAAAACUAUCAUUUACUAUUUUGUGUGAAAACUAUCACUUUUUUUCUAAUCCGUCGCAAAAAACUACCAAGUCGUGGAACCACCCGCUUCGCCCACUUUAAGCACGAAUCUAACCGGUUGGGCCCACUAACAAGCUGCCACCGUGGCUAUCCGUGCACUGCUGCGCGUGAAGAAAAAAGCAUGAAAAUCUGUCGAUAUGAAUCUGCUUGCAUGCUGUUGGGUAAAUUAAUUCCAUCUUCCUUUUGCCUACUUAUAUAAACCCCCAAAAGAACACACCUACGAGUCUAACCAAAACCACCGUAAAUAAUCCAACGGAGUGGGUUUCUUUGAAACCAAGAGAGAGAUUAUUGAGAACCACAUGUUGAAAACCAUUGCUAAUGGGGGUGACUUUUGUUGGCACAUUCUCCCUGCUGUUAAUACUGCUGGUGGCAUCCAUGUGGGGCUUAGAAAUAAUGUCUUUGAGAUUAUGGGUGUUAUUAACAAAAAAUUCUGUAUGAUUAUUACUGUUAAAAAUAAAGAUGAUGGUUUUUAUGGCACUUUGUUGCUGUUUAUGGUACUACCUACAAUGAGCAUAAGAUUGAAUUUAUUGGUGAAUUGCAUGAUGUCAUGCUUCAGGUGUCCUAUCCUGUGCUGUUUGGUGGAGACUUUAACGUAGUUAGAUAUGUUUUUGACAAGAAUAAUGAGCUGAUUAAUAGCCAGUUUCCUUAUUUGUUCAAUGAUUGGACCAACAAAUGGGGCCUUAUGGAGAUCAAAAUUGCUAAUAGAAGUUAUACUUGGAGUAACAACCAAAGUGAUCCUAUUUUUUCUAUGAUUGAUCGUGUUUUUGUGUCCACUUCGUGGGAUGCUCGUUUCCCUUUGUCUGUUCUUUCUGCACUCCCUCGUGUUGGGACUGACCACACCCCACUUCUGUUAGAUACUAAAGCUAGGAGGGUUACCUCCCCCAAACCAUUCCGUUUUGAGAAAUGGUGGUUAGACUAGCCUGAUUUCAAAGAUUUAGACUGCAGUACUUGGGCUAACACUCCUUGCCGUAAUGUGGCUGUUGAUAACAGGCUGAAUAAGACUAGAAUUUUACGGAAGAAGAUUAAGGGCUGGAGCAUCAAUAUUGAAGUUGUUCUUAAAAAAAGGAUCUUCUUCAAGAGUUUGAUAUCCUUGAUGUUUUUUCUGAGACCAACCGGUUAGAUGAGACUGAUAGGACUCAUAUGGAGGAGAUUAAGAAAGAGUUAGACGAGAUCUGGAAGAAAGAAGAGACUGCCUUGUGGCAGCGUUCCAGAGAUAGGAGUAUUUUAGAUGGGGACAAGAACAAUAAAUACUUCCAUGCCUUAGCUAACCAUCGUUAUAGGAAGAAUCAUUUGUUUGAGAUGAAUGGGGAUAAUAGCCCUGUUCAUUCCACAAAACAGAUGUUGGAGGUUGCCACGUCUUUCUAUAAAAAUCUUUUUGGUUUUGAGCAGAAACACAAUAUAAGUUUGGGACCUUCCUUUUGGAAGGAUGAUGAAUUGGUUACUUCAGAGGAAAAUGAGGUGUUACAUAUUUUUUUCUUCUGAAGAAGAGAUUAAAGAGGCCAUCUUCAGUUCCUAUGCACAUGGUGCACCAGGACCUGAUGGUCUUUCUUUUCUAUUCUAUCCGUUUUUUUGGGAUUGGAUUAAAAAUGACUUCAUGGCCAUGGUGAGAGAUUUUGAAGGGGGUAAUCUUGACAUUUAUAAGCUGAACUUUGCCAUUAUUGUGUUAAUUCCUAAAGAAGUAGAUGCCAAGGAUAUGAAGAAGCCCAGACCUAUUAGUCUGGGGAACUGUGCAGUUAAGAUCCUUACCAAGGCCAUAACCACUAGAUUAUCCCCUGUUGGGGAUAGACUGAACUCUUCUAAUCAAACAACUUUUAUUAAAGGUAGAUUUGUUCUUGAGAGUGUGGUGUUGGCUCAUGAAGUUAUCCACGGGAUUAAGAGAUCCAAAACCCAAGGGCUUGUACUCAAACUAGAUUAUGAGAAAGCCUAUGAUAGGGUGAGUUGGGAAUUUCUUUUUGAUAUGCUGAGAUCCAUGGGUUUUGGGAUCAGGUGGAUCUCUUGGAUUAAAAGUGUGAUUCUUAGAAGUACAUUCAGUGCCCGUAUUAAUGAUGUCACUGGACCCUAUUUCUUGGGUGGUAAGGGUCUCAAGCAAGGGCACCCCAUUUCUCCCCUUCUUUUUAACCUAGUUGCUGAUGUGUUUUCCAAAAUGAUGAUUAAAGCUUCUCAACAAAAUUUAAUCUCGGGGCUUCUGUCUCAUGUUGUUAAUGGAGGGAUUGUUAGUUUACAGUAUGCUGAUGAUACUUUACUUUUUUUGGCUAACUCCAAGGACAAAGCCAAAAACUUUAAAUGGAUUUUAUCUUGUUUUCAAAACCUGUCUGGGAUGAAGAUUAACUUUCAUAAGAGUGACCUUCUUACCAUUAAUAUUGAGCAAGAGGUUGCUAAAUCUUUUGCCCAAAUCUUUAGCUGCAAGAUUGGUUCUUUUCCCAUCAAAUAUUUAGGUGUGCCCCUUCAUUUUGACAAGUUACAUAGAGAUGACCUGCAACCUAUCAUUGAUAGGAUUAUUAGUUGUAUUUCUGCCUCGUUGGGUCAGCAUCUCUCUUACAGAGGUAAACUAAUACUGCUAUGUGCUUGUAUAGUCAGUAUUCCUGCUUACCUUAUGGCUGUGAUUAGGUUUUCCAAAGUGGGCAUUUGAUGCUAUUAACUCCGAGAUGGCCCAUUUCUUCUGGGGGAAUGUACGAGACCAACAUAAGUAUCAUUUGGCUAACUGGGGCCUGUUUACCAGGAAGAAGGCAUUUGGGGGCAUGGGUAUUCCCAACUUAAAAGAAUUUAAUAUGGCCCUCUUAGCCUCCUGGGGGAGAAGGUUUGUUGAUCCCCAAUAUAAAGAUUGGAAAGAAGUUAUCUCUUUCAAGUAUAACAUUGUUUCUCCUAAUAUUUUUUGGGCUAAAGCUGACAAUGGCUCUUCCUUUUGCAAAAGUGUAACCUGGGCUUUAAAUGCCUCUAGGAAUUUCUAUAAAUGGACUGUUGGUAAUGGGGAGCGCAUCAAAUUUUGGCAUGACUUAUGGUUUGGGGAUUGUUCCCUCAAAGUUCAGUUUUGGGAUCUGUUUUCCAUUUGUAACCAACCUGAGUGCACCAUUUCUCAAGUGUGGGAUGGUGUUAACCUCAAACUAUCUUUUAGGAGAUGUGUUGACUAUAGUGGUCUGAUUAGAUGGAAUCAACUGCUGGAGAUCAUGCAGACUGUUAACUUAACAGAGACCCCUGAUACCCUAGUCUGGAUGUUGGAAAAGUGUGGGGUUUACUCGGUUAAAUCCUUUUAUCAUACUAUUAACUUCGGGGGAGUGGUUUCUACCAUUGGGGAAAAGCUUUGGAAAAUUCUCUCUCCACAAAAGAUUCAUGUGUUUCUUUGGUUGUGUGUCUAUAACAAAGUUCUGACGAGAGACAAUUUAGCUAAACGUAGAAAUGUCAACAAUCCUACUUGUUUGUUCUACAAAGAAACGGAAUCGGUGCAACACCUGUUCAUUGACUGUGUGGUUGCUAGAUGUGUUUGGAAGCUCUUUACUGAUUCUUUUCCAUAUUGCUAUAUCUCUUGUUUUAGGGAUGUAUGCGCCUUGUGGCAGCUGCAUACAAAAUUGCCUCUGCAAAAUAUGAUUACUGUUGCUUCCUUAUGGAGCAUUUGGAGACUGAUAAAUGAUUUUUGUUUCCAGGGUCGUUUUUGGAGAAAUCUAGGUUGCGUCCUUGUGNNNNNNNNNNNNNNNNNNNNNNNNNNNNNNNNNNNNNNNNNNNNNNNNNNNNNNNNNNNNNNNNNNNNNNNNNNNNNNNNNNNNNNNNNNNNNNNNNNNNUUCGGGGUCGGGGGUUGCGGUUGGAUUGGAGGGGGCUCGCGUCGCGUGCGCACCGCUCUCUCCAGCCGUCCGGCGUGCCGUGUCUCGUAUCGUCUCUUCUUCUUUUCCUUUUUUUYYUUGUCUUYUUUUUUUUUUUUGUAGGGUGUUCGCUCGCUCUUGAGCCGUGCCGCUCACAACGUCGACCGUGAGGGGGUCAGCUUCUUCCUUUUCGCAUCAAAAAGGGAAAAGGAAAAAGUCAGCUCUUCCUUUUUCUUGGACGCUACAUACACACACACACGCUUUUCUCCUUUGUUGACAUAGAAUGAAACUAAUACCCUUAAGAUCAUCAAGAGUAUAUCCAACACGUUGCUUCCUCAACAUUUUUAAUAACUUCUUCUCUUCAUGAUUCGAGAGGUGAGCACUAAUAAUAACGGUGCUUCCUCAAAGUUUUUUAAUAACUUUUUCUCUUCGUGAUUCGAGACGUGAGCACUAAUAAUAACAUUAUAUAUCUUCUUCUUAUCAAUAUAGGCAUACUUAAGAGUAUCUGGUAACUGUUUUAACUCGAACACAGGAUCACCCUUUGGUAGGGAGGAUCCCCAAGCAGUUCAACAGACAGAUUAUUCUUGAGAACAGGAUAUUGUUCUAAAACAAUUUUAUCUGUUUCAUCCAUAUGCAUAUCAUUUUCAUGCUCUAGCAGAUAUUGCUCUAAAGGAUCCGUAGGAGGUACGGCAAUAAAGGCAAGAGCAAUUAUUUCAUCCCUACCAGACGACUCUUUUUCAUUGGUUGUCUUCCAAACUUGGAAAAGUUAAAUUCAUGAGACACACUCUCGAAACUAACAGUGACAGUCUGUUUAACGCAAUCAAUAUGAGCAUUGACAGUGUUAAGAAAGGGUCUACCAAAUAUGAUGGGACAAAAGCUAUCUUGUGCAGUAGCAAGGACGAGGAAAUCAGUAGGAUAGUUCGUCUUACCACACAGGACUUCUACGUCUCUCACAAUUCCCACAUGGCAGAUAGUGUCUCUAUUAGCUAGCGUAUUAGUGACAUCAAUGGGUUCUAACUCAGCAGGUGCAAUCUUAUCUUGGAUUUCAUCAUAUAGGGACCGGGGUAUUGCACUAACACUAGCACUCAUAUCACAUAAACCAUGAUAACAGUGAUCUCCUAUCUUAACAGAAACAACGGGCAGGGCAACUACAGGUCCGUAUUUAUCUUUCGCGUGAGGUUUAGCAAUUCUAGCGUAGUCCUCACAGAAUUUGAUAACAUGCCCGUCUAUGUCUUCGGCUAAGAGAUCUUUGAUAAUAGCAACACUAGGUUCAACUCUAAUUUCCUCAAGGGGUGCAAGUGGUCUAAUGUAACCCCUACGUAUCACAGUUGGAGCUUUAGAAUAAUUCUUUUUCCUAGCAUGGUAAGGUGGUUUUUCAGCGUAGGCACAAGGAACAAUAGGAUCACUAUGUUGGGGAACGUCGCAUGGGAAACAAAAAAUUUCCUACGCGCACGAAGACCUAUCAUGGUGAUGUCCAUCUACGAGAGGGGAUGAGUGAUCUACGUACCCUUGUAGACCGUACAGCAGAAGCGUUAGAGAACGCGGUUGAUGUAGUGGAACGUCCUCACGUCCCUCGAUCCGCCCCGCGAACAAUCCCGCGAUCAGUCCCACGAUCUAGUACCGAACGGACGGCACCUCCGCGUUCAACACACGUACAGCUCGACGAUGAUCUCGGCCUUCUUGAUCCAGCAAGAGAGACGGAGAGAUAGAUGAGUUCUCCGGCAGCGUGACGGCGCUCCGGAGGUUGGUGAUGACCUUGUCUCAGCAGGGCUCCGCCCGAGCUCCGCAGAAACGCGAUCUAGAGGAAAAACCGUGGAGGUAUGUGGUCGGGCUGCCGUGGAAAAGUCGUCUCAAAUCAGCCCUAAAACCUCCGUAUAUAUAGGUGGGAGGGAGGAGGCCUUGCCUUGGGGGUCCAAGGACCCUCAAGGGGGUCGGCCGAGCCAAGGGGGAGGACUCUUCCCCCCCCAAACCGAGUUGGACUAGGUUUNNNNNNNNNNNNNNNNNNNNNNNNNNNNNNNNNNNNNNNNNNNNNNNNNNNNNNNNNNNNNNNNNNNNNNNNNNNNNNNNNNNNNNNNNNNNNNNNNNNNGCCGGGUACCAUGAUGGUGACGGCGGGGAAAAUCCACCUCCCCUCGCACGAGGCGCACCAUGCCUCUGUUCGCCUCCCCAAGAUCCAGAUGCCCCCCCACCCCCUUACAGCUGUUGACCCUGCAAGUCCAGUGGGCCAUGGCGGCACUGGAUGCUCCUCCCCCUACACCCCCCCCACCUCGACCCCAACGGCGCAGCCCAACCCAGCCUUGCGGUUGGCAUGCGGAUGUUGUCGUGUUGCAUCCAGUUGUGGGCGGGCCCAUGUGGCUGGUACUCGUCUCCAGCGGUGCUCCUUCCUCCCUCGUGUUGCGGUGACGAAUCCCUGUGGUGGAUUGUUGAGGUUAUGUUGGUUGUCCCCACAGUGGCGGUUUCCUUUGGCGGCACGUCGGCUUGGCGGCAUGGUGGGCGAGUGGCACCCUGAAGUGGGUUUGCUACCGCUGCUCUGGCCCCUCUGGACUCGAACCUACGUUCUCCGAUGUCCGUGGCUUGACGGCGUCUCUAUCGGCGUGGUUGCAGCCCCAGCAAUGUAGUGGUUGCAUCUCUUCCAGCUUACUCUAUUCGUUGGUGUUCUCGGAUACGAGUCUUGCGGCUUGGAUCCGUGUUCCUCCGACUCCUAGCUUGCCAGUGUCGCCGGUUGCCGAUGAUUCCCCCGCAUCGGUUUUUCUCUACUCAUCUCCUCCCCAAUCUUGUGUACCUACAUGCCUCGCCUUGAGCCAGAUCCAAUGCUCGUGUGUCCGAUGGCGCCCAGUGCCACCCUCCGGUGGCAAGUGCAGCCCCACCAACCCCCUUCUCAAUGCGGCAUUUUAGACCGCUGGUUGUUUCCUCAUCCUAGAGUUCUGAUUCAGUGGCUAUGGGAUUGUUCAGACUCAGGCCCACUAACUCUCCUCUCACUGCAUGUUGGGCCUAUUGGGCCCGCGAGCCUGCAUCCUGGCCCACCUCUCGGGUAGGGUUUCUAGUCGUAUGCACGUCGUGAUGGCCUAAUAGGCGGCAUUUUUUUUAUUUUAAUAAUUUUUAGUCCUAGUUUAUAUUUUAAUUAUUUGCUAUUAAAUAUAUUUUUUCUCUUCUAUUUUAGUUUUCUAUUGAGUUGAUCUUUUUUUGUUUCUUUUUAGUUAAUGUUUUACUUGAUUCUUUCCAACAAAUAAGCACUUUGAUAAUUUAGUUAAUUAUUUUUUAAUUCAUUCAUUUUUAGUUAAUAUUUUAGUUGACUCUUUUUUUGUUUUCUAUUAAGUAUUUUUUACAAAGAAAAAACUUUAUGAAAUUUCUGACUUCAUUUGAUAUUUUUCAUGAAUUUACUUAUUAUUUUUUUGAGCUAGUUGACCCUGAAAAUGAAAAGCACUACAAAUGAACUCUAAAAAUGUUGAAAGUUGCCAUGGUAUCAUCAUUUUCACCCACAUAGCAUGUGCUAGAAAGUUGAGAGGGUUACGGCAAAAACUGGAUGCACUUCGUGUACAAAACGGACAAUCUCUCUCGAAGUAUCAGGGUUUCGAACGAGAACCCUAUCUGUUACAAAGGGAUUUCAUUUUUUGUACUUAUUUGAACUCCAUACAUUUUGUGUGUUCAAAAAGCACCAUUCAAAGGCACAUCACAAAAUUUCAACAAUUUCUCACUUCAUUUGGUAUUUUUCGUGCAUUUAAUUAUCUUUUUGAGCUAGUUGACCCUAAAAUUCGAGAAGCAGUACAAAUGAAAUCUGAAAAUGUUGAAAGUUGGCAUGGUAUCAUCAUUUCACCCACACAGCAUGNNNNNNNNNNNNNNNNNNNNNNNNNNNNNNNNNNNNNNNNNNNNNNNNNNNNNNNNNNNNNNNNNNNNNNNNNNNNNNNNNNNNNNNNNNNNNNNNNNNNGAAGUUGAAUCUCAGCAGUCUAACGAGGUUCAGAAUCUGGUGAUGACAUUGAUAAAAACGAGGAUGAGAACCGCAUGGAAGCAUCGGAGUGCACCACUGUGACAACGAAUGACUCUUCUGCUGAGAAGUCCGUAGAUGUUGUUAUGGCUGACGAGGCUGCAGAUUCUGAUUGCUUGAAACACUUUUGAUGUUCUGCAGUGCCCUCCGGACCAUCACUACCUAGAAAACAUAGCUCAUGUAAGUUCUUUUGUGUUGCAUCCACACAUGUAUUGCACUUUUUGUGUCGCAUCUUGAACAAACAUUUGUUUUUAAGUGUGUUCUUUUUUUGAUAAGUUUGUUUCUGCUGUAAUAUUUUGUUAUUAUUUCCUUUCUUGUUUACAAAUAGCCAAACAAUGUUCCAGGGUACCGGUGGAAGGAAGUGGGUAAAAAAAGUUCAGCAAGAAUGGGGCAUACUUGAGAAGAACCUACCAGGUCUGUUUCACCUUCAUCUGGUAUCACGGUUCAACCAUAGAAAGGGUGAAAAGAAGCAUGUUAUGGUUUUCUGAUAAUUCUUUUUUACUGCAAUUGUAGAUUAUAUUUAUGUGAGGGUAUUUGAAGAUCGUAUGGAUCUCAUGAGAGCUGUGAUUAUUGGAGCAAGUGGCACACCAUACCAAGAUGGCCUAUUCUUCUUUGACUUCUACCUUCCACCUGAGUUUCCACANNNNNNNNNNNNNNNNNNNNNNNNNNNNNNNNNNNNNNNNNNNNNNNNNNNNNNNNNNNNNNNNNNNNNNNNNNNNNNNNNNNNNNNNNNNNNNNNNNNNCCAGGUUUCGAUCCUGGGACCUGUGGGUUAUGGGCCCACCACGCUUCCGCUGCGCCACUCUGAUUCGUGCGUGCUGCUGAUGCAAUCCCAACCUACUUAACCUUUCGCGACCAACGACACAAGCACACGAUGCCUUGCGUACGUCCAGGAUGACCAUCGUGCCCUUGGAUCAGUGCCGACUCCUAAACAUAACCAUUUAGUCUUAUUACUAUAACAAACAAAUAUAAAGUCACUUUCCUGCAAGACAAGCAAAAUUAAGCAACAAACCAAGCUAACACCCGCAUGACAGGUGAUACAAACUGUUCAUUCUCGAAACUGGCUUUCCCCCCGCUUUAUAUAUAAAGCAACACCGAAAAUGCAAAGCAUUCAUGCGGACGGCACGGCGAAGCAGGAGGGGGGGGGGGGGCGACGAGAGCACAUGUGUAUGAUGAUGAUUUCAUGAAAUGGAAGCACAUAAGUUGUCUUAGUUAUUAACAACCACUCCACUCCAGGGAGCACACGGAAAACAAAAUGUNNNNNNNNNNNNNNNNNNNNNNNNNNNNNNNNNNNNNNNNNNNNNNNNNNNNNNNNNNNNNNNNNNNNNNNNNNNNNNNNNNNNNNNNNNNNNNNNNNNNUGGCGUUAGUCCUUCUUAUAUAGGUGUGGUCGGGUCGAUAAAGCGCGUAGGUAUGAGCUCAUCUCGGCUCAUUCCCGCAACCCGCGNNNNNNNNNNGAGAGACCCUUAUAAAGGGGUCCAACUCCUUUCCACUAGCAAGGUGGGACUAAACUUCCCACCACCCCUUGUCAUGCCACCACCUACAUGGGCCCUAGGAGAUUUCUGAAAUUUUCUCAUGGGCCUUAGGCCCAUCACAGAUUACAACAUCCAUUGCAUGUGAUCGGUAUAGAAGAUGCAAAGUACAAAGUCUUAACAAUACAUUUUCCUUAAUAAUCUUCUUUCGUUUCCAGAAAAAAAAUGCAUCUUCCUUUCUUUCCAUUACACAUUUCGUUCCUUUUGUUGUCCUUAAAAUGGGGAAUGGAGGCGUUGUAACCCCCCCCCCUCGGCGGCGGCCUCCCUGGAUGGCGCGAGGGAAAGCCUCGCUGCCGCCGUAAGGCCUCCCCUCCUCCCGCUCCCGCAUCGCCACCAUCGGAGGGCGGGCCGGCGAAGCCGCGCCGGGUACCAUGAUGGUGACGGCGGGGAAAAUCCACCUCCCCUCGCACGAGGCGCACCAUGCCUCUGUUCGCCUCCCCAAGAUCCAGAUGCCCCCCACCCCCUUACAGCUGUUGACCCUGCAAGUCCAGUGGGCCAUGGCGGCACUGGAUGCUCCUCCCCUACACCCCCCCCACCUCGACCCCAACGGCGCAGCCCAACCCAGCCUUGCGGUUGGCAUGCGGAUGUUGUCGUGUUGCAUCCAGUUGUGGGCGGGCCCAUGUGGCUGGUACUCGUCUCCAGCGGUGCUCCUUCCUCCCUCGUGUUGCGGUGACGAAUCCCUGUGGUGGAUUGUUGAGGUUAUGUUGGUUGUCCCCACAGUGGCGGUUUCCUUUGGCGGCACGUCGGCUUGGCGGCAUGNNNNNNNNNNAAGUGGGUUUGCUACCGCUGCUCUGGCCCCUCUGGACUCGAACCUACGUUCUCCGAUGUCCGUGGCUUGACGGCGUCUCUAUCGGCGUGGUUGCAGCCCCAGCAAUGUAGUGGUUGCAUCUCUUCCAGCUUACUCUAUUCGUUGGUGUUCUCGGAUACGAGUCUUGCGGCUUGGAUCCGUGUUCCUCCGACUCCUAGCUUGCNNNNNNNNNNUCUGGACUCGGACCUACGUUCUCCGGUGUCCGUGGCUUGACGGCGUCUCUAUCGGCGUGGUUGCAGCCCCAGCANNNNNNNNNNNNNNNNNNNNNNNNNNNNNNNNNNNNNNNNNNNNNNNNNNNNNNNNNNNNNNNNNNNNNNNNNNNNNNNNNNNNNNNNNNNNNNNNNNNNGUAAUGAGGGAGGCACGGAACGGUUGGGGUUCGGGGUCGGGGGUUGCGGUUGGAUUGGAGGGGGCUCGCGUCGCGUGCGCACCGCUCUCUCCAGCCGUCCGGCGUGCCGUGCUCGAUCGCUCUCUCUUUCCUUUUUUUUUCUUUGUUUCUUUUUUUUUUUUUUGAGGGUGUUCGCUCGCUCUUGAGCCGUGCCGCUCACAACGUCGACCGUGAGGGGGUCAGCUUCUUCCUUUUCGCAUCAAAAAGGGAAAAGGAAAAAGUCAGCUCUUCCUUUUUCUUGGACGCUACAUACACACACACACGCUUUUCUCCUUUGUUGACAUAGAAUGAAACUAAUACCCUUAAGAUCAUCAAGAGUAUAUCCAACACGUUGCUUCCUCAACAUUUUUAAUAACUUCUUCUCUUCAUGAUUCGAGAGGUGAGCACUAAUAAUAACGGUGCUUCCUCAAAGUUUUUUAAUAACUUUUUCUCUUCGUGAUUCGAGACGUGAGCACUAAUAAUAACAUUAUAUAUCUUCUUCUUAUCAAUAUAGGCAUACUUAAGAGUAUCUGGUAACUGUUUUAACUCGAACACAGGAUCACCCUUUGGUAGGGAGGAUCCCCAAGCAGUUCAACAGACAGAUUAUUCUUGAGAACAGGAUAUUGUUCUAAAACAAUUUUAUCUGUUUCAUCCAUAUGCAUAUCAUUUUCAUGCUCUAGCAGAUAUUGCUCUAAAGGAUCCGUAGGAGGUACGGCAAUAAAGGCAAGAGCAAUUAUUUCAUCCCUACCAGACGACUCUUUUUCAUUGGUUGUCUUCCAAACUUGGAAAAGUUAAAUUCAUGAGACACACUCUCGAAACUAACAGUGACAGUCUGUUUAACGCAAUCAAUAUGAGCAUUGACAGUGUUAAGAAAGGGUCUACCAAAUAUGAUGGGACAAAAGCUAUCUUGUGCAGUAGCAAGGACGAGGAAAUCAGUAGGAUAGUUCGUCUUACCACACAGGACUUCUACGUCUCUCACAAUUCCCACAUGGCAGAUAGUGUCUCUAUUAGCUAGCGUAUUAGUGACAUCAAUGGGUUCUAACUCAGCAGGUGCAAUCUUAUCUUGGAUUUCAUCAUAUAGGGACCGGGGUAUUGCACUAACACUAGCACUCAUAUCACAUAAACCAUGAUAACAGUGAUCUCCUAUCUUAACAGAAACAACGGGCAGGGCAACUACAGGUCCGUAUUUAUCUUUCGCGUGAGGUUUAGCAAUUCUAGCGUAGUCCUCACAGAAUUUGAUAACAUGCCCGUCUAUGUCUUCGGCUAAGAGAUCUUUGAUAAUAGCAACACUAGGUUCAACUCUAAUUUCCUCAAGGGGUGCAAGUGGUCUAAUGUAACCCCUACGUAUCACAGUUGGAGCUUUAGAAUAAUUCUUUUUCCUAGCAUGGUAAGGUGGUUUUUCAGCGUAGGCACAAGGAACAAUAGGAUCACUAUGUUGGGGAACGUCGCAUGGGAAACAAAAAAUUUCCUACGCGCACGAAGACCUAUCAUGGUGAUGUCCAUCUACGAGAGGGGAUGAGUGAUCUACGUACCCUUGUAGACCGUACAGCAGAAGCGUUAGAGAACGCGAUUGAUGUAGUGGAACGUCCUCACGUCCCUCGAUCCGCCCCGCGAACAAUCCCGCGAUCAGUCCCACGAUCUAGUACCGAACGGAAGGCACCUCCGCGUUCAGCACACGUAUAGUUCGACGAUGAUCUCGGCCUUCUUGAUCCAGCAAGAGAGACGGAGAGAUAGAUGAGUUCUCCGGCAGCGUGACGGCGCUCCGGAGGUUGGUGAUGACCUUGUCUCAGCAGGGCUCCGCCCGAGCUCCGCAGAAACACGAUCUGGAGGAAAAACCGUGGAGGUAUGUGGUCGGGCUGCCGUGGAAAAGUCGUCUCAAAUCAGCCCUAAAACCUCCGUAUAUAUAGGUGGGAGGGAGGAGGCCUUGCCUUGGGGUCCAAGGACCCUCAAGGGGGUCGGCCGAGCCAAGGGGGAGGACUCUUCCCCCCCCCAAACCGAGUUGGACUAGGUUUGGUGGGAGGGAGUCCCCCUCCCUUCCCACUUCCUCCUUUUUUUUCCUCUUGAUUUUUCUUCUCUUGACGCAUAGAGCACUUGUGGGCUGUCCCACCAGCCCACUAAGGGCUGGUGUGUCUCCCCCAAGGCCUAUGGGCUUCCCUGGGGUGGGUUGCCCCCACGGUGAACUCCCGGAACCCAUUCGUCAUUCCCGGUACAUUCCCGGUAACUCUGAAAACCUUCCGGUAAUCAAAUGAGGUCAUCCUAUAUAUCAAUAUUUGUUUCCGGACCAUUCCGGAAACCCUCGUGACGUCCGUGAUCUCAUCCGUGACUCCGAACAACAUUCGGUAAGCAACCAUAUAACUCAAAUACGCACAAAACAACGUCGAACCUUAAGUGUGCAGACCCUGCGGGUUCGAGAACUAUGUAGACAUGACCCGAGAGACUCCUCGGUCAAUAUCCAAUAGCGGGACCUGGAUGCCCAUAUUGGAUCCUACAUAUUCUACGAAGAUCUUAUUGUUUGAACCUCAGUGCCAAGGAUUCAUAUAAUCCCGUAUGUCAUUCCCUUUGUCCUUCGGUAUGUUACUUGCCCGAGAUUCGAUCGUCAGUAUCCGCAUACCUAUUUCAAUCUCGUUUACCGACAAGUCUCUUUACUCGUUCCGUAAUACAAGAUCCCGCAACUUACACUANNNNNNNNNNCACUUGCCCGAGAUUUGAUCGCCAGUAUCCGCAUACCUAUUUCAAUCUCGUUUACCGGCAAGUCUCUUUACUCGUUCCGUAAUACAAGAUCCCGCAACUUACACUAAGUUACAUUGCUUGCAAGGCUUGUGUGUGUGAUGUUGUAUUACCGAGUGGGCCCCGAGAUACCUCUCCGUCACACGGAGUGACAAAUCCCAGUCUUGAUCCAUAUUAACUCAACUAACACCUUGGGAGAUACCUGUAGAGCAUCUUUAUAGUCACCCAGUUACNNNNNNNNNNCACAUUGCUUGCAAGGCUUGUGUGUGAUGUUGUAUUACUGAGUGGGCACCGAGAUACCUCUCCGUCACACGGAGUGACAAAUCCCAGUCUCGAUCCAUACUAACUCAACGAACACCUUCGGAGAUACCUGUAGAGCAUCUUUAUAGUCACCCAGUUACGUUGUGACGUUUGAUACACACAAAGCAUUCCUCCGGUGUCCGUGAGUUAUAUGAUCUCAUGGUCAUAGGAACAAAUACUUGACACGCAGAAAACAGUAGCAACAAAAUGACACGAUCAACNNNNNNNNNNNNNNNNNNNNNNNNNNNNNNNNNNNNNNNNNNNNNNNNNNNNNNNNNNNNNNNNNNNNNNNNNNNNNNNNNNNNNNNNNNNNNNNNNNNNNNNNNNNNNNNNNNNNNNNNNNNNNNNNNNNNNNNNNNNNNNNNNNNNNNNNNNNNNNNNUAAUGAUGUGAUCCCGUUAUCAAGUGAAAACACUUACCUAUGGACAGGAAACCUUGACCAUCUUUGAUCAACGAGCUAGUCAACUAGAGGCUUACUAGGGACAGUGUUUUGUCUAUGUAUCCACACAAGUAUUGUGUUUCCAAUCAAUACAAUUAUAGCAUGGAUAAUAAACGAUUAUCAUGAACUAAGAAAUAUAAUAAUAACUAAUUUAUUAUUGCCUCUAGGGCAUAUUUCCAACAUCCUAGCCGUCACAAGAUCAGAUCGCCUCUGCCUCAUGCGCUCAUUCNNNNNNNNNNCUCCUCUGCCUCCCGCCACGCCACGCUUCGCCCCGCCGCACCGCGGGUUGCGGGAAUGAGCCGAGAUGAGCUCAUACCUACGCGCUUUAACCGACCCUACCACACCUAUAUAAGCAGGGCUAACGCCANNNNNNNNNNNNNNNNNNNNNNNNNNNNNNNNNNNNNNNNNNNNNNNNNNNNNNNNNNNNNNNNNNNNNNNNNNNNNNNNNNNNNNNNNNNNNNNNNNNNGGAUCCACCGGCAACAAGUUGCUCUCGUGUGCGGGAACAGCUUCAGAUCGCUGUGUAGUGAAGCACUUGUCUUUGGAUGCUUUCUCAGCUGGCCAGCAUGCAGUCAUGCAUGCAGCAACGCUCGCUCAUUCAGGCUCGCCCAAUGCAUGUGGUAUAGACUAGAGACUACACACUAGAGAGUACCCUGCCCUGGCCCUGAAGUUGGCCACUUUCCAAGCCACCCAAAACUAAAAGCGCAUCUGCCAUGCAAGCUGCCAAAAUCAUGCAUUUGCUGCGGUUGGUGCAAUGGAUGGUGCAGGUGCAUAGUCGCCAUUGCAAAAAGGCUACAUACAUAGGAGUACAUUACAUGGCCGUACGUGGUGGCUUUGCUACAUGGCCUCUGAUGACGAUUUGACUGCAUCAUGACGCCCCAGCCGGUGCAAUCCCAUGCAAAGCAGCAGGCAGUGGGCGACACCGGAAGGAACGAGCAACAGUGGCACUGUACCUAGCUAGGCAGCCACGUAGGAGUGCUCCUAGAUGAUACCCCUAGAUGGGCAUUGGUAGAUUGGCGCCAUUGCCCUACGGCCGGCGAUGACAAACCCGCCACUGCACUGCGCCCUUCCAUCGCCGGCGACUGAUUUUUCCCUUUGUUCUCUUCGAAAAAGGUUUCCUCGAUCCAUGCACGGCACCAGCGCAGAGCGUUGUCGCCUCACCACGCACGAUGCCGGGCUCGCUCUCUGACCGCGUUCAAGAAAACAUACGCCUGUAUGCUCCAGCAUAGAUGGCAUUCCUACGGGAGUGUACCGCUCCAGAAAUGACCACUCGAUGAGAGACACACGGAGACAUUAUUCAGAGGUGUGUGUCCUCUCCCCUACUAAUCCUGACCCCAUGCACACCCACGCAUGUGCAUGCAUGCCAAUCUGUUAGCAGAAGACAGCAGGAUCAUGCACGCAUGGACACCAGCAUCAGCAUGGACACGGAAACGAAAAUAUCAGUUGCACAAAUAAGCAUAACUGCAUAAGCACUCCGAAUAAUGCCCUGAUAUGAGGAAAGAAAAGAUCGUCACCUGGAGCUUGAGGUGCAAGCAAGCAAGCAAAGCAAGAGAGGAGACACCAUGAUGGCCCAAGUGAGAGCCAUGCUCUCGGAACGAGAAACACAUCCCAUCACGUCAAAACCUGGAAAAAGAUGGAUGGAUAGAUAUAGAUAGCUCAUAGAUAUCCUAGAUCCAACAUCCAAGCACGUACCCUACAAACCCUUUAUAUAAACCCAUCACGUCGACUUGAACACCAUGGACAUGACUCCAGAAAUAAAUUCCUGUACUGUAUACUACUCCCUCCAUUUCAUAAUAUAAUGUGUCCUUGUUUUCGUGAUCAUAAAUUAAACCAACAAAAUCGAUUGUGUUGGGAGCAAAAAAUAUAUCGUUGAUUGCUUCCGUGGUAAUCAGUCUCUUGAUUAAACAUAUGAUCAAAAUUAAAUCUCAAAAAGUGAAGGCAUACUAUAUUACUCCCUCCGUUUCUAAAUAUAAGUCUUUUAAGCGAUUUCACCAAGGGUCUAUAUACAGAAUAAAAUAAUUGAAUUUAUACUUUAAAGUAUGUCUAUAUACAUCCGUAUGUAGUCCACUAAUGAAAUCUCUACGAAGACCUAUAUUUACAAACGGAGGGAGUAUUAUAUAAUGGAGAAUGUAGGGAGUACAUGCCUACGUCUACUUGCCUCGCUUCCGGCAGGCUCCACUGUUUGGUCUUUUCAACAGGACCCUUGCUUGGCUCGCUUGCUUCACUCCCUCUGAGCCUCUGAUAGAUCUGUUUGGUCACUCCAGCCCUGCACACGCUCAAAUCAGAACCACUUUCCUUCCUUGCAAAAUUGCUGGGCAAGCAAGAAAUCCAGUGAAAUGGUAGUACUAAAAUUAAAAACGGAGAUGCAGAGUGCCCAGAAGCAGCAGCAGAUGGAUGGAUGGAAUCUGCAAACCAACCAAGCAACCAAGCGGCGUCAACCACGCAGUAACUACUGCCUGGAAGAGAGAUAUUUACCUCAGUACGAGCGCCAGGGAUGAAGCUUCAUGGGUUUGUUACCACUACCAACUACCUCAUCCUUCAGUAAACACUUGACAAAAUGCAUGUGCUUUGCUUGUCCGCCAAUAACUGGAGUCUCAACAUCACCGGCCGUGAGAGGAAGCUUCUUCACCAGCUCAGUUUGUUAACCAGCUCUCUCAUCACUCAGAGCAAAGAAAGGCACGUGCAGCUCAAUUCCCACCGGCCGGCCGUCUGAUCCGAGACACAUGCGCGCCGUGUCUCCAUCCAGCCCGUCCAUUUCUCUCAUCGGGCUGGACAGGAAAGCACAGGCCGAGUGAAAAAUGAUCCAGAUUGCUGGCACAUGGGAUGAAAGAAAGACAUGCACGCACACGUUCAUCUCAUCUCAUUCUCAUCUCAUCCAUCCGGUGAGGUGGCCAGCAGAGUAAGAAGAAGAUAUCUCGGCUGGGACUCCCAACAGAGAGAUGCCAAAAGCACAGCCCUGAAAUCCAGCGAAAGAAAGAAAUCGUUCACUGUUGGGUGCUGUCAAGGGACCUACUCUACAUGCAUCCAUCAAUGCAUGUGCAUGCAUGCAUUCUCCCGCCUCUCACUCACUAGCUUUUCCCGCUCACCAUCAGCUUUCACCACCCCACACGCACGCACGCACGCACAAGCGGGUGCAGGUGGCGGUAAUAAGUGGCACAGUAACAUCAAGGCAAAAUUGACAAAAAUGACCCCUGGGGUGAAAGAACUCACGAAGUGACCCCUCGGAGGAAAUAUUUCAUCGCCUGGCCCUUUUGUGUGGCGCCCGACACCUAGGCGCCACACUACACUGUAUGACGCCUAGCCGUUCGGCGCCACACCCCCCGACCACCUGGCAGGGAAGGGCCCACCCCCCAGGUCGUGUGACGCCUAAGCCUCAGGCGUCACACAUUGUAAUGUGUGGCGCCGAACGCUUAGGCGCCACACAUGGACUUAACUGGCCACGGGCCAGCCCCCCUCCCCACCCCCUCCCUCAUUGAAACAGAAACUGCAACUGCGGCGGCGGCUGGCUCUUGCCCCCUCCCUAAUCCCCUCCCCCAUCUCCUUCAGAUCUGGUGAUUUCUUCCUUGGAUUGAUCCCCCAAGGUAAUCUCCUCCCCCAUCCCUUCCCUUUCCCAUCCUUCUAUCCAAGUGUAUUAGGUUUUGGUUGAGUAGAUUGAUUUUAGUAAAUUGAUUUGAGUAGGUUCUUAGGAUUUGACUAGUUAGGAUAUGAGUUAGUAUAUGAGUAGAUGAGUAGUAGUAGUUCAUAUUUGUAGUUAGUAUUAGUAGUUAGUAUAUGAGUAUAUUCGUAGUAGUAGUUCAUAUUUGUAGUUAGUAUUAAUAGUUAGUAUUAGUAGUUAGUAGUAGUAGUUAGUACUAGUAGUUAGUAUAUGAGUAUAUUAGUAGUAGUAGUUCAUAUUUGUAGUUAGUAUAUGAGUAUAUGAGUAGUAGUAGUUCAUAUGAGUUCUUAGGAUUUGAGUAGUUAGGAUAUGGUGAAUAUGAGUUAGUAUAUGAGUAGAUGAGUAAUUUGAGUUCUUAGGAUUUGAGUAGUUAGGAUUUGAGUUCUUAGGAUUGUAGGAUGGUGUAAUUUUUUGAAUAUGAGUCCUAUUUGAAUAUUAGUUAGUAUAUGAAUAGAUGAGUAAUUUUUUGAAUAUUAGUUAGUAUAUGAGUAGAUGAGUAAUUUUUUGUGAUUUGUAGGAUGGUGUGGCUUCUGAAUAAUGUUUAUGACGUUGAACACCGGGCCUAUUUCAUGUCGGAGAAGAAGAUGGUAAGUAGAAAUUGUUAGUAGAUGAGUAAUUUUUUGAAAAUGUAAUAAGCACUUGAUAUCUUCUUCUCCUAUAUGUUUGCACGAGCUUACGCCCUUGAAGAUCCGGUCUCAUGGGGCAUCCUCUGUAAUGCAGUACGAUGAGCGGUACACCCCAUACAUCAAGAUGACCGGACUCCUUCCAUUCGUGCAGCUUGUGAGUCAGUCAACUCCCAAUCUGAACGUUGCGGCAGUCACAACACUUAUUGAUCGUUGGAGGCCGGAGACACAUAGUUUUCACCUCCGGACCGGAGAGAUGACGGUUACUCUUCAAGAUGUUUCCAUGAUCACCGCUCUUCCGAUCGAGGGGAAGCCUCUAUGUAUGAGCACUGGUUCCGAGGGAUGGCGGCAACAAAUGGAGGCUCUUAUUGGUAUGUCGCCUCAGGAGCCGGAGAUAGAAGAUGGGGGGAAGAAAGAUAGAGUCCCGGCCGACGCUCCUUUCACUUGGAUUGCCGCCAACUUUGCUCAUUAUCCUGAGGACGUAGAUGACGAGGUGAUCCAGAGGUAUGCUCGCGUCUACAUGUGGUACGACAUCUCUAGGACUAUCUUUGCUGACGGCACAGGCAAGAAUGCUCCAUGGAUGUGGCUGAAGGCGUUGACUGUUUUCGACAACAAGUUCAGCUGGGGCUCGGCCGCACUGGCUUACUUGUAUCGGCAGGUAAUAAAUUGUUAGUAUUAAGUACUCUCUGUUAUCUUUUUCUGCUAAACUGAUGCAUGUUUGUUGUUACUUGUAGUUGGACGAUGCCGACAAAGGACGGUGGAGUUGGUGGUUGUAUGCUCCUACUUUCAGUAUGGAGCUGGGAACGCCUACCUGUUGGACGCCCUAAAAGCUCACAGUGGAAUACCUGGGAUGACCACGGCAACCCUGUACGGCAACCUACAUGGGCUUACAAGUGGGACUUGGUAUCGGAGGUGGCAAGCGAAGUGAACCUAUUGUACAAGCAAUACACCAACGAGAUGGAUCCGCUUACCCCCGAGCAGGUAAGAUGGUUUCAGAGUUGACUUCCAGCUUCUAUGUUGUGAGUAAAAUGAAUUGUGCCUUUCAUCUUCUGUUGUCGGUUGAAUGGGAGCCAUAUGGUGUCGGGCCAAACUUUGGUGAUGCACACACGUUCGACCUGAAUUCACUAUGCGUGCAGGAAAGACAUCUUUGGCUAAUGCGUUGUCCCCUAAUAUGCAAUUGGGCGGUUGAGUUUCAUCUCCCGCAUCGUGUGAUGCGUCAAUUUGGGUACUUUAAGCCACACCCGUCGGAGUGGGUGGACACGGACACACAGCUUCACAGGUAACAAAAAAAAAGUACUGAUUAGUUUUGUUCUUAGUGUUGAGCGAGCUACUGAUGUGUUUUGUUGAAAGCAGGUUGGAUAGGAGGAGGCAGCGAAAGAUCAAGGAUUGGCAGAAGCAUCAUAAGAGCUAUGUCGUUAUGUUCGAGCAAAGUGUGCAGGCAGCUUCGAGCAUACGACGAACCCAGUACCGCGAGCAUUGUCCGCUUGCAUUCAGCAACUACUUAAGAUGGUUUCAGGCGAGUACUCGUGUCGAGAUUUGUCCGCCGGCUUACGAGGAGGACAUAUUGGAAGAACCCACUGAGUACGAUGCACUUGCCCAAAGCCGUUACAACAAGUUAAUUCGCAAAGGGUACCAAACUUCCUUCGCCCCUGUUCUCGAAAUAUGCAAGAACCAUUCCCAGUUAACAUUGUUCUCUGCCUCAACCAAAGCAAAAGCCAAAGGCAUCAACCGGUUAUUGGCAUCACUUGCUAUUGCAACCAACAAAGUGCCCUUGAAUUGUCCGGUCAAAAACGUGCCAUCGAUGGAGAUGACAGGACGACAGUGCUGGAAAGCCCUCACACAUUGCUCAAAUGCCCAAAAUGCACGGCCAAAUACGCGGACCCUAUUUCCAUUCAGAAUCCUUGUUUUCUCCCCAUACGGCUCGACCACAUGAACCAUGCCGGGGUUAGUGUGGGCAAUAGCUCCCAACAACCUAGGUAUGCGGUUGUAUGCUUCCUCCCAAUCACCAUACAACAUCUUGAAUGCGGCUUGCUUUGCUUUCCAUGCCUUACCAUACUUCACCUCGUAGUGAAAGAGGGCUUUCACAAGGUCUUGUACGCUUUUUAUGCUCAUUGUAGGAAGAGAGGAUAUGGAAUUGGAAAGCCUAUAAGCGAUGAACUCGGAGGUUAGUUGUCUAUGGCUUUGCGAUGAUAGGGCACCAUCAACCCUCUUGCCUCGACACAUGUGAGGCAUAGAACUGACAAUGUUCCAUCCUGGUCCUCCUUUCCAUGGUCUUGCACGGACAAUCCAAGGACAACCUCUAUCCUCACAUGCAACCGUGUAACGCAGCUUCAUGUUUGAAUGAACAACUUUGUGUGGCCUAUAAUGCAUAACAGAAUAUUCAUCCAACCACAUCUUCAAUUCAAAGAAUGUUUCGAACUUUGACCCCGGCAAAAUAAUAUUCUUCCCAUGUGUGUCCCGAUGAGAAGGUAGCCUAACUCCAAACAAUAUGCCUUCGCCUCCGUCAACCACGGCUUCAUCCGCAAGGCUAAGAUCCUCGAACAAUGGUGUCCGGUGAUCACGCUUUAAUACAUUCGUGAAAGCUUCAGCCUCCUUUAUCGUGAACCCUUCCUCAUCAACUUCUUCAUCGGGACCCUCAUCGUCAGACUCAGAGGCAUAGCCACGUGAGUACGGAAUGGAAUGGUCCAUUGUCUCUUGCAAAUUAUAUGUGUCCAAAUCACCAAGAUUGUUGUCAUGAAGAAUAUUACCAUCAUCAUCGUGCUCAUCAUUAGCCUCUACCAAUGGUUCAUGUUCAAUGUUGACCUCUUCGUUAGCCUCAUAGACACAAGAAAGAGGUUCAAUGUUGGGCUCUUCGUUGAUGGUUGCAGGAAUAGCUUCAACAAUCGAAGAGGCAACCCGGUUCAAAUCCAACAAGUUAGGAACAUUUGUUUUUAUGGCAAAUAACUCUAGAGCCUUGUCUAGUGAUUCGGCCACCGUAUCCUUGUAUGCAAGCCAACGUUGCUCGGAGUUGACACGCAUGGUCUUCCAACGAAUGUGCAUUCCGAAUCCCACAUUAUGCCUACCAUCAAACUCAACUACAUCACUAGGGUCCAUCCAAUUCAAAUCCUUUCGGACUUGUUCCAACAAUUCACCAUAGCUAGAAAACAAAUCGAACACCAUGUCAAGCUCAUCCGGGUCCGGAUCAAUAUUGCCUUUCAAAAAGGCAUCCUUGUCCACGUGAUGAACAGAAACACAUGUUCUUCCCAUACCUAAACAACAAAACAUAGAACAUUUUUUAUGAGCAAUCAUACAAUUACAAUAACCAUAGCCUAACUUCCAAAUAACCCUAACCCCAUCAUAACCCUAACACAACCAAACAUCCCUAACCCUAGCCUAACCAUAGCCUAACCCUAGCCUAACCCUAAAACAACCAUAAUGCACACAUCCAAACAACCCUAAUCCUAAACCCAUCAUACCCCUUAUCCUAACAUACAAACAAAACCAACAAUAUCAUAUACAUCCCGCAUUUCAUGAAAAACUAGGUUUCCUCAAAUUUGGAAAAAAAAAACACAAAAGAUUUUCCUUUGGAUGAGAAUAAGGGGAGAGGUGGGGAUUACCUUAGGGGAGUGAUUGGACAACAAAUGUCCGGUCCAAACCUUCAGAUUUGGUGGUUUAGAGAAGGAUUUAAGGGGGGGGCAGUGGCUGGGAGAGGGGGCUGGGGGAGGGGAAUGGGGAGGGGGUGGGGAGGGGGGCUGACCCGUGGCGAGUUAAGUCCAUGUGUGGCGCCUAAGCGUUCGACGCCACACAUUACAAUGUGUGACGCUUGAGGCUUAGGCGUCACACGACCUGGGGGGUGGGCCCCUCCCUGUCAGGUGGUCGGGGGGUGUGACGCCGAACGGCUAGGCGUCACACAGUGUAGUGUGGCGCCUAGGUGUCGGGCGCCACACAAAAGGGUCAGGCCGGUGAAAUAUUUCCCCCGAGAGGUCACUCUGUGAUUUCUUUCGCCCCAGGGAUCAUUUUUGUCGACUUUGCCUAACAUCAACGCCUCCAUCAUAGGACUGUGCAGAGGAUGAGGAGGAGGAGGACACGGCCAAACAGUGACACGCCUCUUUUACCCGUUGGAGGGGGCAGGCCUGCAGGGGGGGUGCAUCAGAGGUUUUAAUCGGCAGGAUCAUCAAAGAGUUUGGGUCGCCGAACCCCACCCCCACUCUGCGCGCGCGCAGCAGCAGCGGCAACAGUGCCGGAACGCCGCGGCAGCAGGCACGGAUGACACGUCCAUGCUCGCUCCACGGCUCCGGCCACUGCCUUGCCACGCACACGCAUUUCACAGGGUGCAGCUCCUCUUGUUGCAGACAGACACGUCCGGCAUUCAUUUCAUCUGUUUGUGGAAUGUAAAAAAGAUGUUGAGGAGAGAAAAACAACUUGAUCAAGAGCAGCAGAUGACUAGUGGUAGCAGCAGCAGCAGCCAUGAACUCCGGAUCCUAGCUCGCUAGCUACACACUACAGACUACACCACCACAGUGGUAGUAUCUUCCAUGGCGCAGCACGCUUGCGUGGAGUAAGAUCUUUGAGCAGCGGCAGCAGCAGGAGCAGACGCUACUGGAGAGUGCAAACUUGGGAGCACCGCAGCAGCAGCAGCAGCAGCAGCAGCUAGGUGAAGUGAAGGGGCCGUCCGUCCGUCGUCACGUCGCUGUUGCCUUUCCUCCUCCCUUUGCCAUGCCAGUACAUCUACUACUACUGCUGCAAUUGCAACCGGCUGCCCUCCUCUGUGCUGCCUCCGUUCCUCCUUGCUUGCGCCUCCAUGCAGAGGUAUGCAUACACAGUGGCUCUCACCAAGCUCGCCGCGCGCCCUGUGCUCCUACUGUUGCGAGGCCGGCAUGUGGGCCCAAGUUAGUGAUCCGUCGACCCGGUACAUUGCCUACUACCUAUUGCUUCGGCACCAAAAAUGGCAGUCAGUACGUAAGAUGGCACAUUUUGUGUGCCGAGACGACCUCAUUUUCCAUUGAUCCGUGGUGAAUUUGUUGCACACCAAAAUCCCUUUAAUUUGUUGCCAGAGAUUGCAGUGUGAUUCAGAAGGAAUCGCCAUGUGCGUCGCGAAGAAUCUGCCGUGAAAACGUUCGCAUAUGCAUGCCAUCCCUUCCGGCGAACGUGGCCAUUGGGUUCGAAAAUAUGAUCAUCACUAAUAUCCGUACGAUAUAACGUAUUCUGCAUUUUGUUACAAAUGUUGGACUGGCACUCUAAUUAACGGUAGCAGCAGCAGCAGCAGGAGGAGGCAGCAUCUAGGCUCCAAAAGUGUGGUUGCUCACCAACUAAACCAGAUGUUUCAAGUCCUCUACAACUAUCUAUGAAUAAAAAGUGACACCUUUAUGGUACCAUGAAUCUUUCCCAUCCACAACAAAAGAGAAGAAGGGACGACGAUAACCGUACAUUAGUGGCUGAUUAAACUGGCCCCGACCAAUUCGGUUUAUACUUUACACCAACCAUCCCUCAAGCACUGUAAAGUGCCACCCUAAUCAUAGUAAGUCCACUAACACCGUACCCUAAUAAUCAAAUAACUAACAAAGGCUUGGCACACGGCCGGCCAGCCAGCCAGCCAACUAGUGGUAUGUAGCAGACCAUCAAGCUGGUACGUAACAUGCUGGGCCUGCAACACGUUCUUCACCAGCUAGCAGCAGUAGCAGCAGCAGCCAGUCAGCCACUACUGGAGUGCUUGCAUACAUGUGUACAACAAUACACACCCACGUACCACGGCCAUUAGCGCGCCGGACCGUGGUGCCCUUCACAAUUUCACGGUGGUACAUACUUCAUCCGUUUUCUAAAUAUAAGUUUUUUUCCUAAGAUUUAAUUAUGUACUACAUACGAAGCAAUGAAAUAACCCUCCGUCCAGAAAUACUUGUCGUAGGAAUGAAUGUAUCCAGAUUUAUUUUAGUCCCAGAUACAUUCAUUUCUAUCUAUUUAUACGACAAGAAAUUCUGGACAGAAGGAAUAUAUAUUUUGAAAUAUGUUUAUUUACAUCUGCAUAUAAUUCAUAAUGCAAUAUCUAAAAAAAACUUGUGUUUUAAGACGAAGAAAGUACAAACCAUAUUUUCCAACCCGCCAAUUCCAAACUCCGAAGCCUCUUCUCCCCCACUCGGCCGGCCUCUUUAGACAAGCUCCUGGAGAGGCUACAAAAGAAGAGAUAUUAUUUCACCCCACCAGAGACCAGACCACACCAUCCUAGCAACGAGACAGCAUAUAAUUUUUUACCAGGCGUGUGUGUGUGUGAGAGAGAGAGAGGGAGGGACAAGAGACAAUGGGAGAGGCCGUGUGUAACUGUAACUGUAACCGUGCGGUACAAACCUCGCAUAAUACUCCCUCCGUUCCUAAAUAUAACACCUUCUAGAGAUUACAAUAUAUAGACUACAUACAAACCAAAAUGAGUGAAUCUAUACUCUAAAAUAUGUCUAUAUAAAUCCGUAUAUAGUUCAUAGUAUAAUCUUUAAAAUGUCUUAUAUUUAGAGACGGAGGGAGUAAUAUAGAUAGAUUUUACUAGAGCGGUGGGGGCAGCCAUGUGGGAGGGAGGGAGGGGCAGUGAGUGAGAUUAUAAAAGAAGAGUGGAGGAAGAAGUUGGAGUGGAACCGAACGGCACAUUCUUAAAUGCAGGGAAGGAGGAGGGGUGGCUUCUUCUCCUCCAGCAACGGUACAAGAGCCAACGCCAGCACCAUCACUUCCCCACUCCCCCACUAGCCACUGCCCCUCCCUCCCUGCUUGAGCUUUGGCUCCCGCACACACACACACACACACCAUCUCUUCCUCCAUCCUCUCCUCACAGAGAAAGCUUGCAAACAGUGGCGGCUCU
rnacentral:lncRNA from 1 species